CGACUUCUAUGCUUACUACAGGUUUAAUCCCAGUAGAGACACGCCCAGCGACGCCAGAAACACCUUGCUAGUAGUAGGCACCUUGAUUGCCGCCGCGACCUUCCAAGCAGGAAUCAAUCCUCCAGGCGGAGUUUGGCAAGACAAAACCAUUGUGGAUGGAGUCCCUACACAUCCAGGGAAGGCCAUCUUGGGUUCCGAGAAGGCUGCGUUCACAGUCUUUCUUUUCUUCAACACCUUAGCGUUUUCUUCUUCGCUGCAAAUGAUUCACUAUCUCAUAAUCGACUGCCCUUUUUCUUUUGAGGUGCUGACUGCUAUAUACUCCAUGUCCGGCACCUACGGCUUCUCAAUUGCUGCUGUGGAGCCUCCUGGAGCAGUCAAGUUCUGGUACAUCAUGAUUGCGUUUUUGUUGCCAUAUGCCGUAAGAUUGUCUCAACAAAUUUUCAAGAUAUACAAGAAGAGAGGUCAAUUGUAGUUCAUCUAAAAAGGUAUUUGUGUAUUUGCUUGUAAGUCAAGCUUCUGUUUUUGUAGUUUAAUUUGUAACUAUUUGCAGUAUUAUGGAAGAAGGCAUCUAAUAAUCUGCCCUAUGUUUACCAUCAAUGUUAAAUAAAGCUUAUGCUUAAGUUGUUUUUAUUUGAAGGGCUUUCCCUACAAGAAUUUUUGAGAAGUACUUAUCAAGUAAUUCUAUCAAAACCACUAUAAAUAAUUUUUCAACUUUUAAACAAAUAUUUUCUAGAUUUCAUCAAAUGUCAAAAUUUUCAUUAAAAGCUAACUUUUUAAUAGUACUUUUUAAUUAUAUCAAAUAUCUAAUUUUUUUAAUCCAAGAAAUAUUUUUAAUCCAAUUGUGAAAUAGACUUUUCUAAUCCAAUCGUGAGGUCCACAAGCUAUUACAAGCAAAAGAAUCAAAGCAUCUAUUGAGCUUUGUGAGUGUUUAGCUAGGUUGACACAAAAUCAUCACAUGCAUAUCAAAAAGUAAGACAAAGAUUAAAUAAUAUUCAUUAAAUAUAAUAAUUGACAAUCGGAAGAGAGAUCGUAUGUAGGGCCCCCAUUAAAACCCAAUUUAUUUUGAAUGAAUUAAUCCCACAAAUUCCAUUAUUUUGGAAUUAUGAAAAUUAUCUUCAUGCUUAUUAGAAAUCAAGGAAAAUAAAAAAUUAUUUUAAAAUCAAAGAAAAUUUAUGAAAGUACUUAUCUGGAAGGAAAGAUAGCAAAUUUAUUUAAAAACGGAAUUUUUAGUAACUUAAAACCCUAAUGAAGAAUAAAAAGUGAUAAAAUUAAAAAAUAUUUGAAAACUAGAGUGAAAUUAAAAUUAUUUGAAAGAAAACUAUUUUUGAAAAUUGAAGUCUUGAUAAUUAUUUGAAAAUUGGAGUUUUAAAAAUUAAAUUUAAGAAUUAGAAUUUUGAAAAUUAAAUUUGAAAAAAGUUGGAAUUUUGAAAAUUAUUUGAGAAUUAGAGUUUUGAAAAUUUAAUUUAAGAAAUUAAAUUUAAAAGAAAAUAGAGUUUCAAAAAUUAUUUGAAAAUUGAAAUUUUUAAAAGAAUUAAAUUUAAAAAUAGGAAUUUUGAAAAAUUAAACUUGGAUAUCAAAAUACGAUAAUAAAAAUAAAUAAAUAAAUAAAUAAGGCCAAAGGCGGCCAUGCAAAGCAUGGGCCGAGGAGGGUGGUUAUGCAAAAUGACGUCAUGCGCGUGGGCCCGGGAUCCAAGUAGGAUUGCUCUCUGUCGGAAUGGUUGAGAUUGGUCUGAAGAAAUCAUAGUUAGUUGGAGUUCAUGAUCAUCAGAAAAGGUUUUUGUGUAUUUGCUUGUGAGUUAAGCUUUUGUAUCAAUAGUUUAGUUGUAGCUACUUGCAGUAUUAUGGAGGAAGGCAUCUUAUAAUCUGCCUGAUGUUUAUCAUCAAAGUUGAAUAAAGCUUGUAAGGUUGUAGUUCAUAAAAUACAGAUUGUUUACUUUCUAAUUUUUAUUUCCUUUAAAGGAAGAGACAAUAUAAUAAGAAUAAUUUUUUUCUUUUUUAAUUUAUUCUCACAUAAGGACAAAAGCUUCAUGCUAAUCCAUAGACUUUUCUAAUUCAAUCGUGUGAGGUCCCCCACAAAUUAUCACAAGCAAAACAGUAGAAGCAAAUUGCCCCAAGAAAAAGGAAAAAAUUAUUGGUACAUUGAAAAAUUAGAGCAUCUUGUGCAGCUGACCCUAUGUCUAUGGGGCUUCCAAACGUAUAGUUGAACCAGGCCAACCUAAAGUAUUAAACCUCUCAAUAUGCUCUUUGGUUACUAUAAUUGCACCCCAACGCUUACACAAUGUGAUCAUUCUAUUAAUUUAAUAAAAAUACACAUGGCUCUACACAUCAUUCUACACCAACAUAUCGUAAUAACCCAGCAUAAGCUAAGGGUAUUGUCACCAUGAAUAAUUGACUUGAAUUCAACUUUUAAGGUUAUUAUUAUUAUUGAGAAAGCUUGGAGCACUGGUUGCAAAGAACAACAUAGAGCAACUUUGAGAGCAUGUUUGAGCAUUAUUUAAAUCAACUUACCAAUUUGACUAAAUACACCUAAUACUUACUAAUUUGAAAUUUCAUCAAAUACCUUCCUUAUAUCGGGUUUGAAGGGAGAUGAGUGAAAAUAUAUAACAAAUGAAAAUGAUAAGGAGAUAUUUGAUGAAAUUUCAAAUUAAUGAGGGUUAGACAUAUUUAACCAAAACCUUAGAGGAGGUAAAUAAAAUUAAUCCUGAAUUGUAAAAUAUAAUUAUAAAUAUUUAAACUCAAAUCCCAUACACAUCCCAAGAAUUUUUUGGCAUCAUUGUCAGGGAAUCCUAGUUUGGAUGUGCUAGAGGUGUCUUUAGGUGUAUAUUUGCUAUUUUAGCAUCUUACCAAGUAUAUUUUACCUAUUUACCCUUUUUUAUGAGUUCUCUUAGCUAUGUUUUUAUUUAUUUAUUAUUAUUAUUUAUUAUUUAUUUAUUUAUUAUUUAAUUUUUUUCUUAAUUUAUCUUUUUUUGAGUUUUUUCUUUUGCAUUUUUUUAUAAAGGUAUUUUGACUUGCUGUUCUAUUUAAUAGUGCCAUGAAUGAGGGAUGUAACCAAAAUAACAAGCCACAUAUUGAAGAGAUUAUUUGUUAUCCCGACCCCUAGAGUUAAUGCUCCACCUUGCUUAGAUUUCCCUUACAAUGCACCAUAAAUGAACAUCAAGUUUAAAAUGAUUAAGUUGUUUAAGGGAGAAUGAAAAUCCCUACUUGAAUGAAUUUGAAAAGGUCUGCUCCAUUUUGGUAGAGUCUCAUUGCAACUUUUAUCAUUUGAAGUUAAUUUACAUUGUUUUCUUUUUCACUCGAGGAGAAGGCUAACCAAUGGUGGAAUAGCUUAAAUGUAAGAAGCAUAGGUUCUUUGAUUUAAUUGCGAAAAUUUUUCCUUGAUAAAUUUCUUCUCUGCUAAAAAAAUAUAUUUUUUUAAAAGGAAAAUUGUACAUUUUUGUUGCAAAGUGAAUGAGACAUUGUAUAAGUGUUAGGAUGAAUUCAAAGAUUUGUGACUAAAUUGUCCCCACCAUGAUUUUGAAACUUGGAGCAUUCUUUCUUUAUGCUAUUGGCAAUUUCAUCUCAAAUGAAACAAUUAAUUGAAAGCAAAAGCAGUGGGGAUUUUAUUAACCAAGAACAAGAAAAGGCACUUGCAUUUUUGGAUUCAACUAGGCCUCAAAUGUGCCAACAACUCAGUCAGAUUCUUGUGCCCAAUUAUAGCACAACUAAACAUAGAAAAUGAUUUACAAGAAUAAUGUUAAAAAAUAAGAUUAAGGUAUGCAAAUCGAUCAACUAUAACAAGUUAUGUUAGUUACCAAGUAAUCUUGUCCUUAUCAAUGUCUUCAAAUAUUUUUGUGUUUAAGCUCUUCAAUCAUUUUCUCCUUCAAACUCAUCAGAUGCUUUUAUCUUUAAACUCUUUAAUUUGAAAUAAAGAUGAUAAAGAGUAUUUGAUAAUGUAAUUACUAGAGGCAAAUGGAUUUUUUCUUUCUCAAAGCUUUUGAAUAAUGGAUUCUCUUUGAUGUUAGGUAAAUACAUCCAUAUAAAAUCAACAAUGUUAUCCAUACAAACUCAACCAUGUUCAUUAAAAAUUGGCACCAUAGCUUCACCUCAUUUACCUCACAUUUAAUCAAAUCAAGUAAGUGAGAUAUUCUAGGAACAAACUAAUCUGGUUUUCAUCCACUUAGUAAUCUGAUAAUUGAGUUUUACUAAGUGGAUGAUAUAUAUAUAUAUAUAUAUAUAAACGAUAGAUAGAUAGAGUAGUUUUGUGUCAUGUGUAUGUUAUGCGUCAUAAUAUAUAAGUGAGGUUUCCAACAAAUUUACUUUUCACAUUGAAGGAGGGUUUUUCAACUAUAACUUUAAGCAUCUCCCACUUGGUAUGAAAAAUCAAAUAUUAUUUUAAUAUGCUCUCAAGCCCAAAGCAUAAAUAUGCCUUCUAAAAUUUUCAAUAUUUGUAGGGUUAGUUAAAGAAUCAUGAGCUUUUCUUUUUUUGAGAUAUAGUUGAUAAGUAAUUCAUCCCUUUGUAUCAUAUUUAGAAUAAAUGAUACUGCAAUUCCAUAUGUUUUCUUCUUGGUCCUAUUUCACCAUUUUUAAUAGUUGCAAUACUCAUUUGGUUAUCACAUAACAACUUAAAUUUACUAUCAAUUAUUUGAUCAAGCUUGAGAUGUUCUAAAAAUCUUUUUAUCUAUACAACUUUUGUGGGAAUAGUACUAUAUGCUAUAAAUUCAUUUUCCAUUGUAUAAUGAAUUACACAAGUUUGCUUCUUACUGACUCAAGAUAUAGCUCCUUGUAAAAUAAAUAUAUAGCAAGAAAUGGAUUUUCUAUCAUCUUGUUCACCUACAAAGUUUGGAUCACAAUAACUAGUAAUAUUCAAGUCUUCAUUUUGAUAAGUUAAUUUUAAAUCUUUUCUGUCUUUUAUAUAUGUUAGUAUUCUUUUAAUAGUCAACCAAUGAGGAAUUCUUGGAUCACUUUGAAAUCUACUAACAAGACUCACAACAUAACUUAUAUUUGGUCUUGUACAUAACAUUGCUUCCAUAAAACUCCUUAAAACUUGAGCGUGAGUUUUAUUUUCUAUCUUUACCUUAUCCUCUUCAUUUGUAGGUGUCAUUUGCUUAGAUAAUUUUAUCCCUUUAUGAAUAGGCAUGUCUAUUGCCUUAAAAUAUUCUAUUUUGAACCUUCUAAAUAUUUAAUCUAGGUAAACUUCUUAUGAGAGAAUAAGUUUCUUUAUUUUUCUAUCUCUUAUUAUUUUAAUACCUAACACAAAGAAGCCUCACCCAUGUCUUUCAUUUCAAAUUGAUAUUUUAACCAAUCUUUUAUUUCAUUCAAUAUUUUCAAGUUAUUGGAAGCUAAUAAGACAUCAUCAACAUAAAAUGAUAAAAUCAUAAAACUACUAGUACUAUUUUUCAUAUAAACAUAAUGAUCGCACUACAAGAAAUAGGAGAAUUAGCGAUGAAGUUUUAAUGUGGGAAAAAAAAUUUGUCACUAAAUGUUAUUAUUAGUGACAAAAUUUAAAAAUAGUCUCAAAUACAUUUUUGUCACAAAAAAAUAUUGACAGUGAGAAAGUCAUGCUAGUAAGUUAUUCAUGAAAUUUUUUUGCGACAAUAAUGAAUAUUUAGUUACAAUUAUUUUGUCGCAAGAUAUAUUUUUCACAACAAAAUAUUUUAUUGAAAUUUUUGUUACUAAAGAAUAUUAUAAAAUUUUAGGGACAAAAUUUGUUUUUCGCCUAUUGUUAUUUUGCAACAUGGUAUAAAAUAUUAUUUUUAAAUUUAUUUCAUAUGAUAUAUUAAUAAUUAAGAUUAGAUAAUACUGUAUAAUAUUCAAACAUAUUUUAUUUUAAUAUCUUACAAUCCACAUAUUUAUUGAAAAUAUAAAUUUUUUAUUUUUAUAAUUAUAUAUUGAUUUAGGUCACACACAUAUGACUCUUAAUUGUUGGAUUACAUAAAAUGAGUUGAAUAAUUUGAUAUAAGAUUUUUGUUUGUGAAAUCCUUUUAUAUAAAUUAGAAUCUACAUUUUAUUACACAUUAAAUAUAUUUUUCAAAUAAUGUUACAUUCAAGGAUUAAAAUGUUGCCAAAUAUCAAAAGCUUUCAGUAUUUCGCCAUUUUUUCCAACCCCAAAAUUCACUCCAAAAUUUUGGAGUUGGGGAUUCGAACCCCAAUAAAAGUUUAAAUAUUCACCCACCCACCAUCAGGAUAACUUAACAUUUGUUAUAUAGUAUGACGCCUAUUAAAUAUAAAGACUUAUAAAUAAUAAAAAAUGAAAAAUUUACAUAUGUAUUAAAAAGAAAUAUUUUAAUAAAUAAUUAAUACUUAUUUUAUAAUUAAAUGAAAAUAUUCCAACAUGAAAAUAAUCAUAAUAAUUUUCUUUAAAAAUCUUUUUUUUCUAUAUCAUUAAUAUAUUAAUUAAAUAUUUGAAAAAUUGUAUGUAAUUAUCAUUUAUUUUAUAUUAUUAAUUACAAUUGAAUCAAAUGAAUCUUAAUUUAAUAUUAAAUCUAUAUUUUUCAUUCAAUUUAAAUUUUGAAUUCAACUUUUUUUAAAUUAUAUAUUUUUAUAUUUAUAUUAUUACUUAUAUUAUAUUAAAUAUAUAUUAUAUUUAUAAAAUAUAAUAUUGUGGACCCUGCAUUUCGGCUCAUGCGUUCCCCACUCGAUGGCGAGCUCGAUUUUUAUUUUGAAAAAUAAUUUAACUAGUUAAAAAAAAUGAUUUGGAGUCGCCACUUAUUUUUGUUUUAUUUUUAAAGGGUAAACAAAAUAAGAGAAAAAAACCCUAAGUAUGACUCCUUACUUUGGAAAAGGUGGUCUACGAAAAACUAGAUCGGGUUCAGGGGUCAGGUUACUUAUCAGGAAGGUACAAUAAAAAACCGUAGCACCCUUCUAAGUCCCUAAAAACGGGUCUCUACUAAUAAAAUGGAGCAAUCACGGCAAUUAAUUAAUCGAGCAUGGAUACUGAAUGAAUAUCACUCAAAACAAAAUAAUUGAAUGAAUAGGAGAGACAAAUAAUGCACUUGAGUGAUGAACUGGUUUACUUCAAUGAAAACAAAUGUUAGCAAUUAAACACAAAAUAAUCGUGUGUAUCAUAGAAUAAUGUAAAUCAAUCACAUAUAGCAAUCAAAUCAAUCAAUCCACCAAUCGAUCAUAAAAUCAUGCGUGUGGGGCCCCCACCAAAGCCCAAUCUAUCUUGCACGAAUUAAUCCCACAAAUUCCAUUAAUCUGGAAUUAUGAAAAUUACAUUCAUGCUUAUGUAAAGUCGAGAGGAACAGAAGAUUAUUUGAAACCCGAAUGGAAUUAAAACAGUUGGAGAGAAAACUAGAUUUUCUUGAAAUUUAUUUGAAAAUUGGAGUCUUCGGAAUUGAAUUUAAGAAUUGGAAUUUCGGAAAUUAAAUUUGAAAGAAAUUGAAAAUCUUAAAAUUGUUUCAGAAGUAAAAAUUAUGAAAGUUAAAUUUAAGAAUUUAAGUUUUAGAAAUUAAAUUUGAAAUAAAUUUGAAUUUUGAAAAUUAAAUUUGAAAUAAAUUGGAAUUUUAAAAAUUAUGUGAGAAUUGAAAUUCUGAAAAUUAAAUUUAAAAUUUUGAGUUUUGGAAAUUAAAUUUGAAAGAAAUUGGGAUUUUAAAAGUUAUUUGAGAGUUUGGAAUUUUUAAAAAAAUUAAAUUUAAGAAAUGGAGUUUUAAAAAUUAAUUUUUGAAAGAAAUUGGAGUCUUGGAAAUUGAAUUUAAGAAUGAGAAUUUUGGAAGUUAUUUAAAGGUUGAUUUUUUUAAAAGUAAGUAAAUAAAUAAAUGAAUAAAAUAAUGAUUAAAUAAAUUAAAGUGAAAAUUGGAAUUUCAGAAAUUGGAAUUUAAAUUUAGAAAACGGAAUUUUGGAAAAGGAUUUGGAGAUUGGAAUAUAUAAAGAGAAAGUGGAUUUUGAAAGGUUAAUUCAUGAUGGAAUUUUUAUAAAAAGUCACAUUUGUAUCAUGAAAAAGAAAAACAACAUGCUAAGAAGCCUAUAGUGAAGCCCAAUCAUAGGAGGCCCAAACAAACAUUACCAACAAGCCUAAACUAAAAGAAAAAUGGCUUAAAGCCCACAAAAACAAACUUAAGCUCACAAGUCAGUGCCUUGGGAGCCCACCAACAAAGCCCACUGCCUAAAAUAUCCACCCAAAGAUCAAAAGAUGGUUUUACUUUUUUUUUUUUUAAAUUUCCGGGUUGAAGAUCAAUGGUGGCAGGUUGGUGGUGAAGAUGGUAGAACAAAGCUCCAAUAAUAAGAGCCAAAAUAAACUCAUAUCAUCCUCACCCUAUAUAUCCAUCAACGAGCUUAGAAAAGAAGUUAAAAAAACAAGCAUGGAGUGGAGAAAAGAAAGUACCCGGAGAUGGAAAACAAAGAGAGAGGACGAGAGGUUGAAGAAAGGUCUAUUUGGUGCCCGGUUUUCUCUCUUGUCCCCAGAUUUUUUUCUUAAAAAAAAAACCUCCCAGCUGCUGCCCGUUUUCUUCCUCCACCUAGCUGCUGCCCCUCUUCCUCUUCAGUGCAUGUGCUGCCCCCAAAAUCUCCUCCAAUGCAUGUGCUGCCCCGGUUUUUUCCUCCCCCUAGCUGCUGCCCCUUUUCUUCUUUAGUGCAUGUGAUGCCCCCAAAAUCUCCUCCAAUGCAUGUGCUACCCAGUUUUUUCCUCCCCCUAGCUGCUGCCCCUUUUCUCUCUUCAAGAUUUUCUUUCCCAGAUUUUUUUUUCCUACCCAAAAACCCCUAAAAAAAAAAAAAACAAUAUUUUCUUCAUCCCUCUCCAGCCAACAAGGGGGUCUACAAAUAUGCCCCUCUUCGGUAGAGUUCACGAAUGUAAGGAAUAUGAACACUAGAGUGACAAAGAAAGUGUGAAUAGUGAGUGAAAUGAAGUAAACUCUACCGAAGAACAAAGGAGACCCCCAAAAGGACACGAGUGAAACCAGAACUCACUCAAGCCAACAAAUGAACAAAGGCUCUAACCCUAAGGGAAAAUGAUAUCUCAAAAUGCCUCUGAAGCCACACUAAGGACCCAGACUCCCUUUAAAACGUCUUCGAGAGUGACUUAAAGAUCGAUGUCAAAGAUGAGUAACGAUCGAACCACCUUGAAGUAUGAGAAAGAACGUGUCCAAAGGAGACUCCCUAUGUGACCUACAUGAGAAUGAUAGGUGUAGAGUGCCUAACAACAUGACAGAAAUACGUGUCGUGAUCUCAAAAGACCAUGUCAUGUGUAGUGAAAGGGGAAAUCUAGAAGAGCAUGAUGAAUAAGCAAUAAGCACCAGAGUAGCCAGGUGAGGAAAGUGACUCUAAAUGCCCAAAAUAGAUGAUACAUGGUGACCCAAAAAUGUCUAGAUGAGUAUGCACAAUGGCUCUAAAUGUCAAAACUGAAGAUGUGACUUUGAAUGUCAUAUUGAACAAAGACCCUGGACGUCGAACUAAACUGAUAAGAUGAAUGACCGAUUGAUAUGGGUGCGGUCCCGACUCAAGCUAAACACAAACUGAUAGGAAAAUGGCCGAUCGAUAUAGGUGCGGUCCUGAGAACACAAACUGACAUAGAAAAUGACUAAUCAAUAUAGGUGCAGUCCCGAAAACACAAACUGAUAUGGAAAAUGACCGAUUGAUAUAGGUGCGGUCCCGAAAACACAAACUGACACGGAAAAUGACCGAUUGAUAUAGGUACUGUCCCGAAAACACAAACUGACACAGAAAAUGACCGAUCGAUAUAGGUGUGGUCUCGAAAACACAAACUCAUACUAACAAGAAGAUGACCAAUUGACAUAGGUGCGGUCCCGAAAACACAAACUAACACGGAAGAUGACCGAUUGAUAUAGGUGCGGUCCCGAAAACACAAACUAACACAGAAAAUGACCGAUCGAUAUAGGUGCGGUCCCAAAAACACAAACUGACACAGAAAAUGACCGAUCGAUAUAGGUGCAGUCCCGAAAACACAAACUCAUACUAACAAGAAGAUGACCGAUCAAUAUAGGUGCGGUCCCAAAAACACAAACUGACACGAAAAAUGACCGAUUGAUAUAGGUGUGGUCCCGACUCAAACUAAACACAAACUGACAAGAAGAUAGCCGAUCGAUAUAGGUGCGGUCCCGAAAACACAAACUGAUAGGAAAAUGGCCGAUCGAUAUAGGUGCGGCCUUGAAAACUCAAACUGACAAAGAGAUGAAUGACCGAUCGAUAUAGGUGCGGUCCCGACUCAACAUGAACACAAACUGGUAGGAAAAUGGCCGAUCGAUAUAGGUGCGGCCCUGACUCAAACUGAAACAGACAAGAUGAAAGAAUGACCGAUCGAUAUAGGUGUGGUCCCGACUCAAACAGACAAGAUGAUGGAUGAUCGAUAUAGGUGCGGCCCCAAAACUCAAACUGACACGGAAAAUGAGCGAUCGAUAUAGGUGCGGUCCCAACUCAAACUAACACGACGAAUGACCGAUCGAUAUAGGUGCGGUCCCAACUCGAACUGAACUGAAAUUGACAGGAUAAAUGACCGAUCGAUAUAGGUGCAGUCCCAACUCGAAAACUCAAAACUGAUAGGAAGAUGGCCGAUAGAUAUAGGUGUGGUCCCGACUCGAAAACUCAAACUCAAAUUGAUAGGAAGAUGGCCGAUCGAUAUAGGUGCGGCCCCGACUCGAACUGAGCUGAAACUGACAGGAUGAAUGAUCGAUCGAUAUAGGUGCGGUCCCAACUCCAAAACUCAAACCCAAACUAAUAGGAAGAUGGCCGAUCGAUAUAGGUGCGGCCCCGACUCAAACUAAAUGAAACCGACAUGAAGAAUGACCGAUUGAUAUAGGUGCAGUCCCAACUCAAACUCAAACAAACAAGAUGAUAAGAAGAUGGACGAUCGAUAUAGGUGCGGCCCCGAAAACUCGAACUAACACAGAAAAUGAUCGAUCGAUAUAGGUGCGGUCCCGACUCAAACUGAACUUGAACUGACAAAAUGAUGACCUAUUGAUAUAGGUGCGGUCCCGACUCAAACUCAAAUAGACAAGAUGAUAAGAAGAUGGUCGAUCGAUAUAGGUGCGGCCCCGAAAACUCGAACUAACACGGAAAAUGACCGAUGGAUAUAGGUGCGGUCCGGACUCAAAUUGAACUCGAACUGACAAGAUGAUGACCGAUUGAUAUAGGUGCGGUCCCGACUCAAACUAACACGAAAAAUGACCAAUCGAUAUAGGUGCGGUCCCGACUCAAACUGAACUAACAUGACAAGGAAAUGACCGAUCGAUAUAGGUGCGGCCCCGACUCAAACUCAAACAGACAAGACAAGAAUCUGAUCAAGUGGCUCAAAGCCAAAGGAUAACUCAGAUAAUGAUGCAAGCAAACUCGGUCGGAGGGGAUAUGCCCCAGUAUGACAACUCAGGAUCGAUCGACAACUAGGUCAAAGGAUACCAAAGCCUAUGAAAGGUCCGACGAUCUAAAGGACUGAGGGUAUGCCCCAGUAUGUAACGGUGAACAAACUGAGCUGUGAAAUGACACAAAGCUACUGUACUCUGAAAUAUGCUCAAUCAUCAUGUAAUGAAAAUGUCCAACCUCGUAUAGGUAAUGCCAAAUAGGACCACGUAUCAUGACACAACGUUGACAAAACAAAACAAACUUAUGAAUAACAACAAUAAUGAUCAGUGCUCAAAUGCAAAGUGCAAACAAAUCAACACUCAACAUGCCAACUGUCAAAGUGAAAACAUCGUCACUAAUAAAUCAGCAAUCUUUCAAGCCCUGCCAUCAUGGAAGAUGUUGAACCUAAAGUCCAAAAGAUGUAUGAAAGCACAACCAAGAUGAUCGAGGACUGAUCUACGUCUCCUCCUAAUCGAGAUAGAGACGAGGCCAUGUGUCACGGUGGGAUGUGUAGGAUAAAAUAAGGUGAUGAUCAGGCUCUGGUAUGAUAGGAGGCAUGAAAGUAUCCAGGGUGAAAUAACUGAGUACGAGAUGAAAGGUAAGUAUCAGAGAUCGUCCAAGUAUGCCGAGAAGACUAAACCCGAGGUAUCAAUAGCUCCAUAAUCCAUCGAAAAGCAGUAAUCACAAACAGGAAGUCAAAUCUCGAUGUCAAAACAUCCAACUAGGCGGCUAUGCCCCAGUAUGCAAUGAGGACAACAUGAAAUAAUCCAAUGAUCUCCAUAUCACUCGUUAAAUGCUCCAAUGUCAAGAACCAAUCUGAUCUCCCUCCAAAAGAUGGACAUGCCUCAGUGUAAAGGAUCUAAAUAGGGUGGCUAUGCUCCAAUGAAAAAUGCUCUCCAUCUCGUCUAUAACCCAAUGUAAAGCAGUGUAUCCGAGUCAACAAAUCAAUCAACCUCUACUCCUGGUGCCAAAAUGGAAACAUCUCAACGUAAUCCAUAUGAAUCAGAAUCCCCGGGCUCCAUGAAUGUGAAUGUGGUGGCUAUGCCCCAGCAUAAACCAACUGAAGUGACUAUGCUCCAAUGAACAAUCAAAGUCCAUCACCAAUGAGAGGGCUACGUCUCAAAUAAAUCGUCAUCUCAAAAAUCAACCAUCGAUGAGUAGAGUGUGUCCCAAUGCAGAGUAUCGAGUAGAGUGACUGUAUCUCCAAUAAAAGCGCUCUCUGAAAUGGCUAUGCUCCAGUGUAGGGUCAUCCAACAACUCCUAAUCCAUCAUGAUCCACGUGAAAAAGCGAACUGACUAUGCCUCAGUGCAAAGCGUCAUCCCACUAAGAAACUGUCAUCGAUGAGCGGGGUAUGCCCCAAUGUAAAUAAUGUCGCCUCUGAAAAUCCAUCACUGAUAAGAGGGGUAUGGCCCAGUGUAAAUCAUCAUCUCAACUCCCCAUUCAUCAUGCUCUGAGAAAUAAUCUCCGACCAAGCUCGAGUAUUGCCCAUGUGUGAGCUGUCAAACACAAUGUGAAGUAAUGGCCUCAGGGUGGUCUUCAGACACGGGACGUAACGUAGGCUAAAGUAACAGGGUGAAAGAAAUGAAAGGAAACUAGGCUUAAAGGUCCCAAUGAUAUAAUCCCCAUACCUCUCAUGCAUGAGAUGCAAUGCGUAAAAAACGUCAUGAAUCCCGGACCUAGGGGUCCCCACAUUAAAAGUGAUGAUAAAUGAAUGGUCACAUCGAAUGAACAAGUAUGAUGUGUGUGUACCAAUCCCAAGUCAAACAUAAAGCAGAAUGAGAAAAGAAUGAGAUAAGAUGAAAUAGAGUGACAUGGAGGGAUAAAAUAAGGAUAGAAAGAAGACGAAGAGAUAGAAAAGUGAGUGAUGGUCAUCCUGCAUCAAAGCAUGGAAAAUAGUCACAUCCGAAAUAGAUGGAAUAAUGGAUAGAGCAAGGAUAUAAAGAUACUAAAGAAAGGUGGCUCGUCUCUCUCAUAAAAAUCGAAUGGGCGACUCAUACUCUCACCCGAAAUAUACAUCAAGAUGAAUCUCAAGAAUAAGCUCCCAUACGAGCUCUCUCUAACACAUGAACUCAAUGAAGCAAACUAGCACGUCUAUACACAUGCUCAAUGGUGAAUGAUAAAAUGAAUAAUGCGCUAUCUUUUUUUUUUUUUGUGCGUACUCUGAUCAAUAAUGAAUGAUCUCCCAUGAAAUACAUAGCCACAUGAAUAAACUCUCCCCAUGUACUGAUGUAAAAUGAAUCCUCACUAACGAAAACAACCUCUCAAAUUGAAAUCUCUGAACCACUGCCCAUGGGGUGAAUGAGGGGAAAGAAUGUGACAAUCCUCCAUGCAGUGGCGUGUGAGAAACCACCACUCAAGGUGAAACAAGGAUAAUGUCGAGUAAGCAAUAAUGAAAGAAAAGACAGAGAAUGAAUAUCACAAGUGGUGAUAUGUGAUAUAAGAAAAAUAGUGAUGAAAUGAUGUCCAAGUGGAAAAUGUCACAGUGAAGAGUGAAGAAUGAGGCUCGAACAAGUAUGUCAGGUCUGGAACUCAUGACGUAUCCAAACAUAGCAUGCAAGCACUACAGGGUCCCCAACCCGAUGUAAUAGGUAAAUGAGGUGAUGAAAGAAAAGGUUAUGUGCUGGUGUGAAGCUCAAAGGGCUAGCAACGGGUAACUCUAUAUGUGAGGGUGAUAAAGUAAAUAGGCUCAUGAAAUGAUGGCCACCCAUCCUUUGACUAAAACCCCGAACAUCAUGCUUUUGAGAUCUCACAUGGCCAAUACUAAAGACUGGCAUCCAUCCAACAUAGUCAUGGCGACUCCUCUGAAAUCGUGCGAAAGCUCCCACUGAUGCUCUAUGACAACCAUCAAUGUACUCUGAAAAUCAACUCACUCUAUCAUCAUAAGUCACUCACCAUCAUCUCAUAAAAACACCAUGUCUAAUCAUCCCAACUCUCUGAAGUCAUGUGCAAUGGCUCAAAUCUAGAUGCUCCAUGAUAACCCCUCUAUCUCAACAAUAUCGUCAAACAGUCAAGCCACUCUCUCAUCACGAUCCAUCUAUCAUCGUGUAAAGCUCACCUCGGGUCUAACCAUCUCGGACUCUACCUGGUCAGAUCAAGGAAAUGAUGGAAAGGAAAGGCAAUGGUACUGUAGCAUGAUAAAGCGAACAAGAGUAGUAAAGUCAUGUAAUGGUACCAAGGAGUGAUGUCAUGUCAGGCUCAAAAUGGGUAAGUCAUCAAGCCUACAACGUCAAUAUAUGUAUGUAGAUAUGGUAUUGCUCUGAUCAGAAGGUGAAAUGGGUCACAGUCUCAAACACUCUAGGUCGAUCUCAUGAUCCCAAGUCAAUAGGCUCAAUAUCUUCCAUGAUAGGUCAGGCCCAAGUGAUCAUGAUGCCAAAGUGAAAAUAUGUCUCAUCUUGAAAGCAUAGCACAUAUCAACACAAAAUAUGUAAAACGUACUCAUAAGAAAAGAGAAUAACACAUACUUAAAAUAAAAAAAACAUUUCACUGAAUAAAACCAAAUGAGUACAUCAUGUGUGAAGCGAUAAAGGACUACAAACGACUAGAAAAACGACUCUGAACCAAACUGGACUCAACAGAGCAAGAACGACUCUGAUGUCGACCAUAAUCAAAAUGAAAGGUGCCCUGAGCUAAACCGCUACAAAAUGAUGUACUCAUGUCGACUAAUCCCAGCCCUCAACCCGGGAUGUCCCAAAAUACCAUGCCAUCAGUACCCUUAAUAUACAAAUCAAUCUACUGAAGACCAGGAGGAGGAGGAACUGCAUGUGUAGAAUGUGCAGGCAGAGGGUUGGUGGUCACACUUGGCCUAGCCAAGUCAACCAACCCUGAAUCAAUCAAGUCCUGUAUCGCAUGAUGGAGCGCCGAACAACGCUCAGUAUCAUGCCCCUGAAUCUGAUGAUAUAAGCAGUGCUCAUGUGAGCGGAAAUGAGGAGGAAUAGGAUGUGGCAAAGGGUGUGGCGCCAAAGGAACAAUCAAUCCCGCGCCUCUGAGCUUCUCAAAAGCUCUAGUCAAAGUCAUGCCCAAUGGAGUAAACUGCCUCACGGGCCUCUGUGCAUAUGGUCUAGAUGGCGGGUGAGUAGCGACUCUCGAAUGUGGUGGUCGUGGCUGCAUGCCGGUCUGAGCAAUGUAAGGCUCCUGAACAUAAUCCGGCUGAUACUGAUACUGUGGAUAAGGGAAAUGAGCCCUGACUGGAGGAGGCCUGUAAGGUGAGUGAUAUGCGGGCCUCCAAUGCUGAUAGCUAAUAGCGCCAACCUCUCCAGAUCUACUAAAUGAUCCAAUCGGCUUCUUCCCCUUACUGUCAAGGGAAGCAGUAGCAUCUGUCCAUAAUCCUCGAGCGAUGGCCUUCUCAACACUAAAAGCUGCCUGAACCAGACUCUUGAGAUCCUGAAAUGGGAUGCCCACAAGACGUCUCGCGAACCUCAGCUGUAGGUUCCGAAGAACCAUAUUAAUCUGAUCUUGCUCCUUAGGUCAGUCUAUCAUACCAACCACCUUUGUCCUCCAACGAGUGACAAAUGAAGAAAUAGACUCAUCUGGCCUCUGCCUGGUGGCCUCCAACUCUCGUCUAAAUACAUCAAUAUCGGCACUGAAAGCGAACUGAGUCAAGAACUCAUGAGCCACAUCCUCCCAGGUGCGGAGUCUUGAAGGCUCAACUGAAGCAAACCACCUCUGAGCUGCUCCACUAAGUGACAUAGGGAAGAGAGCCACCAACUGCGCAUCAUCUAUACCAUGUGCUCUCAUGACUGUGUUGUAUAGUCUCAAGUGGAUCUUGGGACAACCAAUCCCACUGUAACGCUCAAUGUCUGGCAUGCGAAACUUGGCGGGCAAGCUAGCCGCCGGUAUGCCAUCUCUGUCAUCCCAAGUCAAACCUCCGUCCUGCAAUCUGAUCUGUCUCAUCAUGGACUCAAGCCUCUCAACCUUGGCCUCCUACUCGGCUAAUCGAGUAUCCUCAAUAGUAGGAACCAUGGGAGGUGACACUGUGACAGCAGGUGGUGGAGCAGUCUCACAAUGAUUUGAUAAAUGGAAUGGAACGCCAUGUGAAGUCCCAGGUGGAAAAACCUGCGCUGUCUGGGGUACAUGGGGAACUGUAUCAUCAGUGUUGAUGCCGACUGGAUGAUGAUCCUGGCGAGAACUCUUUAUCUGAUCCAAACGUCUACUAACCCCUGUCAUGAACUCUUGAAUAGAAGCAAGUGUGGAAGCUAACUCAUCUGACAUCUCGACCGAAUUGUCUGAACCCUGAUGUGAAUCUGCUUUGAUCAAUCGACCUCCAACUCUCCUCCAAGGAUGUAACUCCAGACUCAAUCAACUCCUAAAACGACUCCCUACAAUGCAAACGAAAUAGAUGAAGGACACGAGAUAGAACCCUAAAAAAACGACGAUACAACAUGCAAGCACAUGGUCUUGAGGUGGCAAUCCAAAAUCUGGAUGUAUGAUGAGAACUCUGGAGUCAUAAUGGUGUCCACUGUGAGAUGGCUACAAAUGUGACUAAAGAAUUCCUAUCAAUAAUCCAAUAUGAAAGAGGUGUGAGAAAUGCACUAUCAUAAGAUCGAUACUCCAUCUAUAACCACAUAUCCUUAACUCAACCUUCAACUCGAGCUCCAUAAGAGAAGAAAAAAAUAAGAUGAUCAAGGCGAAUCCCUCGAAAAAGGUGUGAAUGUGAAAAUAUGCCUCUCACCUUUCUAUAAUGAGAAUACGAGCAUCAAGUUGAAAAAUUAAAUCAAGGAUCAAACAAAGAAUGGUGUAUCGAACCCGUGAUAGGUGCAUAAUGUAAAAAGAUGAUCAUGAACAUAUCUCAAAGCAUCAAGUAAGUGGCAACAAAGUGAAAGGAUGUGCCAAGCCAAAAGAAGGGAGACGAAAGCCCUAAGGAGAAAAUAUACUAAACUCAUCGAGUGGAAAACAUAAUCUAAGGUGACAUGACAAAGGUAGUCCAACCGAUACUCAAACUCAUAACGAUCUUUGAGAACUCUCAACUAGAGAUUAAAAGAGGGAGUAUCAAAUCCAAACUGUGACUACAGAGGCUUAGAAGGCCCUCAGAUGCACCCACGUGUAGGGAGGGAGUCCUAAUCGAAGGAUCUACGACUGAACCUACAGGGUCAAGGUGGCUCUAAGAGGAAAAUGGUAGACUUUAAGAGAUCCAUAGCAGAAGCGAUCGUACCCUCCGACGGUAUGCAACCCUCUACAUGCCUCCAAAGAGACGGGGCGCUUCCAUGCAAGGUGGUCAUCACCUCCACACGCGCACUACCUCGCAUCCCAAGGGGCUCCUAUGGUGAAAGCUCUCUUAAUGGCUAGCGUGUCUCACAACUCUGAUCACUCAUCAACGAUCUAAGGUGCACAGUGAGUGGUGUGGGUACAUCCGAAAAUCCUAUGAAACUAAAAGAAGACACACUGGCCACAUAAAUAUCCUAAAAUCUAUCUUUGGGUUAUACAAGUCUUCAAAAUUCGGACUCCAAUCAACAUCAAUAUGUCGACCACCUCCAGAAUGCUCCCAAACAUAGAUAUAGCCCAUCGCUAGACCCUAUUCCUGAUCACUAGCUCGGUCGAAGAGCAAACAAAGCAGCAAGUCUCAUAUCAAAUACGAGACCAAGGAAAACAAUGUCGACCGAGAUUAGUGACUCAGAAAUAAGGGGAUAAGUGUGUGUCCCACAUAGACAAGCAACUCAUGCAAUCACACAGAAUGAGAAAAGUCAUGCAACAGACAGUCAUGCAAAAUAGGUAUAUAUCAUCCAAAUCUACAUAGAAGCUAAUCGAGAAGAAUAUCUAGCAAUGAUAGCAUGCUCCAUGAUAAUCAAGAUAAUAUAUAACCAAGAAAAUCAAACAUGUCAAAGUGAACGAGAUAAGCAACAAGAAUAAUGUACAUGCCAAGGUGAGCAGAGUAAUCAUACAACAAGAAAAGUCAAUAUAUGAGCAUAAGCGAAAGGAUCAAUCAAUAUAAUCAACAUGUCAAUGCCUCAAACGAAUACAAUAACCAAGCAUGCAUCAAGGAUAAUGAUAUCAAGAGCCCUCAAUGUGAAAUCAACAAUCAAGUAAACACGCGCACAAAGGGAGGUGGGUACCCACUGAUCGACCAAUCAAACGCCAUAUUUGCUCAAUUUUAAGCUCAAGUUUGACCCUCUAAUCUUCCCCAGCGGAGUCGCCAUUUUGUGGACCCCGCAUUUUGGCUCAUGCGUUUCCCACUCGAUGGCGAGCUCGAUUUUUAUUUUGAAAAAUUGAUUCAUUUAUUUGGUUGAAAAAAAUUGACUUGGAGUCGCCAUUUUGUGGACCCCGCAUUUGGGCUCAUGCGUUCCCCACUCGAUGGCGAGCUCGAUUUUUAUUUUGAAAAAUGAUUUAAUUGGUUAAAAAAAAUGAUUUGGAGUCGCCACUUAUUUUUGUUUUAUUUUUAAAGGGUAAACAAAAUAAGAAAAAAAACCCUAAGUGUGACUCCGUACUUUGGAAAAGGUGGUCUGCGAAAAACCAGAUCGAGUUCGGGGGUCAGGUUACUUAUUAGGAAGGUACGAUAAAAAACUGUAACACCCUUCUAAGUCCCUAAAAACGGGUCUCUACUAAUAAAAUGGAGCAAUCAUGACAAUUAAUUAAUCGAGCAUGGAUACUGAAUGAAUAUCACUCAAAGCAAAAUAAUUGAAUGAAUAGGAUAGGCAAAUAAUGUACCUGAGUGAUGAACUGGUUUACUUCAAUGAAAACAAAUGUUAGCAAUUAAACACAAAAUAAUCGUGUGUGUAUCAUAGAAUAGUGUAAAUCAAUCACAUAUAGCAAUCAAAUCAAUCAAUCCACCAAUCGAUCAUAAAAUCACGCGUGUGGGGCCCCCACCAAAGCCCAAUCUAUCUUGCACGAAUUAAUCCCACAAAUUCCAUUAAUUUGGAAUUAUGAAAAUUACAUUCAUGCUUAUGUAAAGUCGAGAGGAACAGAAGAUUAUUUGAAACCCGAAUGGAAUUAGAACAGUUGGAGAGAAAACUAGAUUUUCUUGAAAUUUAUUUGAAAAUUGGAGUCUUCGGAAUUGAAUUUAAGAAUUGGAAUUUCGGAAAUUAAAUUUGAAAGAAAUUGAAAAUCUUAAAAUUGUUUCAGAAGUAAAAAUUGUGAAAGUUAAAUUUAAGAAUUUAAGUUUUAGAAAUUAAAUUUGAAAUAAAUUUGAAUUUUGAAAAUUAUGAGAAUUUGAAUUUUGAAAAUUAAAUUUAAGAAUUGGAGUUUCGAAAAUUAAAUUUGAAAUAAAUUGGAAUUUUAAAAAUUAUGUGAGAAUUGAAAUUCUGAAAAUUAAAUUUAAAAUUUUGAGUUUUGGAAAUUAAAUUUGAAAGAAAUUGGGAUUUUAAAAGUUAUUUGAGAGUUUGGAAUUUUAAAAAAAAUUAAAUUUAAGAAAUGGAGUUUUAAAAAUUAAUUUUUGAAAAAAAUUGGAGUCUUGGAAAUUGAAUUUAAGAAUGAGAAUUUUGGAAGUUAUUUAAAGGUUGAAUUUUUUAAAAGUAAGUAAAUAAAUAAAUGAAUAAAAUAAUGAUUAAAUAAAUUAAAAUGAAAAUUGGAAUUUCGGAAAUUGGAAUUUAAAUUUAGAAAACAGAAUUUUGGAAAAGGAUUUGGAGAUUGGAAUAUAUAAAGAGAAAGUGGAUUUUGAAAGGUUACUUCAUGAUGGAAUUUUUAUAAAAAGUCACAUUUGUAUCAUGAAAAAGAAAAACAACAUGCUAAGAAGCCUAUAGUGAAGCCCAAUCAUAGGAGGCCCAAACAAACAUUACCAACAAGCCUAAACUAAAAGAAAAAUGGCUUAAAGCCCACAAAAACAAACUUAAGCCCACAAGUUAGUGCCUUGGGAGCCCACCAACAAAGCCCACUGCCUAAAAUAUCCACCCAAAGAUCAAAAGAUGGUUUUACUCUUUUUUUAAAAAAAAUUUCGGGUUGAAGAUCGGUGGUGGUAGGUUGGUGGUGAAGAUGGUAGAACAAAGCUCCAAUAAUAAAAACCAAAAUAAACUCAUAUCAUCCUCACCCUAUAUAUCCAUCAACGAGCUUAGAAAAGAAGUUAAAAAAACAAGCAUGGAGUGGAGAAAAGAAAGUACCCGGAGAUGGAAAACAAAGAGAGAGGAUGAGAGGUUAAAGAAAGGUCUAUUUGGUGCCCGAUUUUCUCUCUUGUCCCCAAAUUUUUUUCUUAAAAAAAAAACCUCCCAGCUGCUGCCCGUUUUCUUCCUCCACCUAGCUGCUGCCCCUCUUCCUUUUCAAUGCAUGUGCUGCCCCCAAAAUCUCCUCCAAUGCAUGUGCUGCCCAAAAAAAACCCAAUGCAUGUGCUGCCCCGGUUUUUUCCUCCCCCUAGCUGCUGCCCCUUUUCCUCGUCAGUGCAUGUGCUGCCCCCAAAAUCUUCUCCAAUGCAUGUGCUACCCAAAAAAAACCCAAUGCAUGUGCUACCCGGUUUUUUCCUCCCCCUAGCUGUUGCCCCUUUUCUCUCUUCAAGAUUUUCUUUCCCAGAUUUUUUUUUCCUACCCAAAAACCCCUAAAUAAAAAAACAAUAUUUUCUUCAUCUCUCUCCAGCCAACAAGGGGGUCUACAAAUAUAUAUAUAGGGAUGUCUUAAAAAAUGAUGCAUCUAUUGAUACAGUUAAGCAGUAUUUCCUCCAGAACCCCACACAAGUCUCAGCCAGUGAUGAUAUGUCUCAGUUUCUCCUUAAAAAGCAACAGUUACAAGUCAUGCUCGCAGCAGCUAAGACCCCUCAAGAUUUCCAGAAAAUCCUUGAAGAAUGAAGCUCAAGUUUCUCCCAAGAAAAUUCUUAUGCAGAGUCUGAUGAUUCAACAAGCUACCUUCCAGACAAUGGUGAUGACUGUGAAGGAAUCCUUCCUCCAAUAAGAAGAUCUAAGUAAUCAUCAGCCUUUUGUCUUCCAUCAAGAAUAUUUUACAAGCUUUGCAGUUUCUGCACCAAAAGCAGCAAGCAUGUGUCUACACAGUAUAAAGCAGCCUGCCAGAAGCCUUCUCAGCCGAAAGAAGGUUUUUCGGAGGAUUUCGGUAGAAAAGUGAAUCUUACUAUUCACUAUUCAUUCACUAUUCACUAUUCAAGCACGGGUCUACUGUUCAUUGUUACUAUUCAAGAUUCCUUUUUGCCUAUUUAAAGAGGCUCGGUCCUCAUUUGUAAGCACGCAUAAUUUUAGUUCUGUUUCUCUCCCAAGCUUAUGUUCUCCCUUCUCUCUUCUUUCUCUCUCAUCAUGUAAAGCCCUUCAAGCCCCAAGCUUUCUUCAAGCUUUCCUACCCUUGUCCAUUGUAAGAUAUUUCUCCUUAUGUAUAAUAUAAAUAUGUUUUGAUUACCUCCUAUAUGGAUGGUUUUUAAUUAAGUUUGAACCCUAAUUUUUAAAUCAAGAUUAUUAAAGGAGAAAGUUCCAUUCCUAAUCACUCAACUCAUGGAAUUUGCAGGGUUCACGAAACCAUGGCCCCUAAAAAGAAUACCCAAGCUCCUAGCCAGAAAACCCAGCCCAGUCAAGCUCCUUCUCCCCAUAAAAUGCUAUGGAGCCAACAAUGAUACCAUAGACACCCAGGACAAGGUCAUAUGCAAUGAAAACAGGAAUUAUGCCAUGAUUCAAAACAAAGAAGAGGGUUAGAUGAUACCAAAGAUAUCCAACAAUGAAAUUUAAAGAGAAGGAACCAAAAACUUGUUAGUUCAUAAUAAGCUUAAAACCGACCAUGUAGGCGGUACAAAAUAAAAAACAUAAAAUUAAAAACAAAGCUUAAUUAAAACCGACCAUGUAGGCGGUACAAGAACAUAAAAUAAAAUGAAAACAAAACUUAAUUAAAAACCAUCCAUAUAGGAGGUAAUCAAAACAUAUUUAUAUUAUACAUAAGGAGAAAUAUCUUACAAUGGACAAGGGUAGGAAAUCUUAAAGAAAGCUUGGGGCUUGAAGGGCUUUACAUGAUGAGAGAGAAAGAAGAGAGAAGGGAGAACAUAAGCUUGGGAGAGAAACAGAACUAAAAUUAUGUGUGCUUACAAAUGAGGACCGAGCCUCUUUAAAUAGGCAAAAAGGAAUCUUGAAUAGUAACAAUGAACAGUAGACCCGUGCUUGAAUAGUGAAUAGUGAAUGAAUAGUGAAUAGUAAGAUUCACUUUUCUACCGAAAUCCUCCGAAAAACCUUCUUUUGGCUGAGAAGACUUCUGGUAGGCUGCUUUAUACUGUGUAGACACAUGCUUGCUGCUUUUGGUGCAGAAACUGCAAAGCUUGUAAAAUAUUCUUGAUGGAAGACAAAAGGCUGAUGAUUACUUAGAUCUUCUUAUUGGAGGAAGGAUUCCUUCACAGUCAUCACCAUUGUCUGGAAGGUAGCUUGUUGAAUCAUCAGACUCUGCAUAAGAAUUUUCUUGGGAGAAACUUGAGCUUCCUUCUUCAAGGAUUUUCUGGAAAUCUUGAGGGGUCUUAGCUGCUGCGAGCAUGGCUUGUAACUGUUGCUUUUUAAGGAGAAACUGAGACAUAUCAUCACUGGCUGAGACUUGUGUGGGGUUCUGGAGGAAAUACUGCUUAACUGUAUCAAUAGAUGCAUCAUUUUUUAAGGCAUCCCACCAUUUAGUUUUAAAGGUCUUUUCCAGAGAUGGAAAAGCUGCUGAUUCAUCUGUAAUGAUAGUAUAGUCCCACUGGACUAUUCAAGCAAGGCCAAAUUUGCUUAAGAAGAAUAGUAAAGGGGGAAAAGCUGAAAGUUCUCUGGGGAUAUCAAAAGAACUUCUGAAUAGCUCAAAGCCAUCCAGGAUGGGCUUGGGAAGAAUCUUAAUAGUCAGACCAUAAUAAGUCCACCAACUGUAGAACCAAAAUGGGAAAGAGAAAAGCUGAUUCUUAGAUGGAAAAUAGAACAUCCAUGAAUGAUGGAAGUCCCUAUUCUGGAUCAGAAAAGCAUUAAACCAUGCUCUCUGAUAAUCCUAAUAAUUAAAAAACCUUGGCUUUGAUGGUUCAGAAAAUUCCCUUGAAAGAUUAGGAUUUCCACCCCAUUGCUUGACAGUAAGAAUCUUACAGAUAUGGCAGGUGGAGAAUGUCAAACCCAUAUUGCUGAAUUUGUCUGCAUUAUGCUUAAUUUUAACAGAACCAGUUUCUGUAAGGACUGCUUCAUAAAACUCUCUUGUUCUUAAAAUAUCACAAGAGGGAUAAUGAAAAUUUUCUUGAAAAGCUUUUGCAGCAAUUUCUCUGGGGUUUUCAGAGAAAAAUUCUAUUUCUAUAACCAAAAGAGGUUGAUUUAAAUCAUUUUGCCAGUAUCUUGAUUUUGUUGAAAAAGGUGUGGGGUUGGCAGCCACCACAAUUUGCUUGUUUGAAAAAGAGGAGCUUGAUGCUAAUUCCUUUUGAGAGGGAUUAGCCUUAAUGACUUGCUUGAAGGUCUGGGACCCUGAAAUGGCUGGAUACUGGGUGGCCUUGACUAGAUUAGCUGGAUCACAAUGAUCAUAGUACAAGGUCAUCAUCUUGUUAGGCAUAGGUUUAGAAGAAUGAAGCCUUGCUUCUUCUUCUUCAACUUGUUGGCUCCAUAGCAUUUUAUGGGGAGAAGGAGCUUGACUGGGUUGGGUUUUCUGGCUAGGAGCUUAGGUAUUCUUUUUAGGGGCCAUGGUUUCGUGAACCUUGCAAAUUCCAUGAGUUGAGUGAUUAGGAAUGGAACUUUUUCCUUUAAUAAUCUUGAUUUGAAAAUUAGGGUUUAAAAUAAUCCAAUCAGUUAAAUUAUACUUAAAAGCUAUAUACUUAAUUGUUUUCUCAGAUGUGAAAACAACUUUUAAAAUUCCUUGGUUCAAAAUAUCAGUUUGAAAUUUUGAAAUGCAUAAAGGAAUGCUUAAAAUAUCAUUUAUAAUGAGAUUUUGAAUGAAUUGGGUACCUAAUAUCUUAGGUGGAUCAUCUAUUCUAACAAGAUUAAUUUCUUGAUCACAAAGAGUGAUGUUUUCAACAGGAUUAGCAAAUUCAAAAAGAAUUUCCUUAUCAAAAAGUUUUGUUCUUAUACCUUGGUUAUCUACCCACAAGGGAUAAAUAGAGCUUAAGAAGGGUAUUCCUAGAAGGGCUUUUUCCUUAAGAUCCUUAACAAGGAUAAAGGUUUGCUUAAUACAGAUGUCAUGGUUACGGAUAUGAACAUAUGUUAAUUUAUUCUUAAUAGCAAGUCUUUUGCCAUUGGCUCCAAAUAGAGACUGACUAGUCUCUUUGCAUAAAGGAAUAGGUACAAGACCUUCUUGAAGGCAAUUUUCAGCUGCUCCUGAAUCAAUCAAAGCAAUAAUAUCAAAGACAAAUUUAUCUUUGACUACUAUAGUAAGGGAGACUUCCCACCUCUGGAAGAUAACCCUAAUCACAGUAUUCAAAAAAGUAUCUGUCUCAUUAUCAUUAACAUGAGAAGAUUCUGGAAUAUCCAUAAGGUUUCCUUGGUUGACAAUUCUAUUGAUUUGAUCUUGGAGAUCAGAGAGACCUAAACUUAUGAAUUGUCUUAACUCUUUAAUCUCCUUUUUAUACUGCUUAACUUCAUUAUGAAGUUCCUUAAUGCUGACUUCCUUAGGAGACUGUUGGUCAAACCUGUUUAAGAUAUCAUUAAGGUUAUAAGGAUUAACAGUCUUCUUGGCUUUUACCUUGACAACAGAUUUCUUAAAAACUUCAUAAAGAUUUUGCUUAGUCUUUUCAUCUUCAACUUUUCUUAAAGUAUCAAGGAUAAAUUCCUGAUCUUGGCUUAUGACAUUUAUAGUUUUAGGACGACAAUUACAAUUACCUUUAAUACAUUCUGCUUGGUCACUAGAAGAUUGGCUGGAAACUUCGCCGCUACUGUCUAGUUGAUUAACGUCAUCUUCAUUAUCUAAAUCACUCCUUGAUUCAGAAUCUGUGGAGUUUAACAUUACCUUACAAAGCAUAUUUUUUAGGUCAUCUGAGACACUUAAGUUAUUAAUCUUUUGCUUAACUUUACAAUCUUUUUUAUAAUGGCCAACUUUGCCACAUUUAAAACAGAUAAUUGGCUUGAUAUCUAAAGGAGUUUCUACCUUUUUUUGGGUAUCUUUGUUGACCCUUCUUUGGACGUGCCUAGAUUGCUUAGUAUCAUUCAUCUUAUAGUUGUCAUAGGUACCUCUCUUACUGUGGUAAAACUUAUCUUUGCUAGGCUUCCUGAUUGGUUUUUGCUUAGAAGGAGGCAUAGUUUCCUUUUGGCUGAAACCAAACUGACUAUAGAAUGAUCCAAAUUCAUUCUUGUAGAUUUUUUGUUCAUUCUUCAUUUGUUGCUUAAGCUUGAAGUCAUUGCACAACUUAAUCCCUUCAGUUGUGACAAUGCUUAUAAUCUCACCAUAGGUUAGCUUAUCAUAAAGGAUUUGACCAUUAUACUGUUCCCUUAUCUUGAUCCUAAUUCUCUUAGAGAAAAGCUUGGGUAGUCCUGAGAUGAAUUUUUCUUUCCAAAAAGACUGGUUACAAUCUGAUCUUAACAUGACUUUGGUUAGGAAGACUUCCUUAUACCACCUAAAAUCAUGAAGUUUGGGACACUUAAGGUUGGUCAAGAGAUCUGUCGUUUUAUCCUUAAUUUUUGCAGGAUCUCCAAUGAAGUGCUUGGAUAUUGAGUAGAUUAAAGUAGCCACUGCAUCCUCAAUAUCUUGGCCAUCUUCGUCCUUAACCACUUCAUUAUUCUCAUUAAUCCUAUAGGCUUUAAGGAUACUAUUCCUAUCAUCAAAAGUGAGAUAAUUAUCCCACCAACCCUUAAGCUGACCUGUAAACCCCGCAACAAUGGUCUAAGUUAUAGCAUGAUCUGGCAGUCUAUUGUUUAAUUUAUAGGUUGUACUUACCAUGGUCAUUUCUUGAAGCUUAGUGAGUAUGUUAUACUCGGUCAUACCGUCUAUGUUUCAUUCAUAGAUAGUACCACUGGUGUAUGAGGCUUGAGUAUACUGAUUUCUUUCCUCAAACUGCAUAUCAGGAAAUGUAGGUCUAGGAUAGUAAUUCCUAGUCUUAAAGGUUUCUAAAUUGUUAAUAUCUUUUGAAAUAAUUUGAUUAUGGGGUUCCUCAAACAUUUUAAUUAGUUCAUCAGCUUCUUCUUCUGAACUAAUAUCACCUUUAACCAUAUUGAUUCUCUUAUCAGGCUGAACAGUCAAAGGGGCAACAAGAUUAUCCUUAAUCCUCUGAUUAAUCCUAUCAACAAAAGCUUGGUUGAUUUAGGGAUUUUCCUGGAAUUCUUUAGAAAAUUCAAAGGACUUAAUUUUAUCAGUGCUCUUACGCUUAUAAGGAUAAUCUGGAUAUUCCUCUUGUUUGAAGAGUUCAAACCAAAUCCAAAACUUAAUAUUUUUCUUUUCUUGACUUAAGUAGACAUAGAAUUCUUCUUGGUAAAUGGUUCUAAUGACCUUAGGGACAGUGCUAAAGAACCAAUCAUUUCUUUGCUUAUUGACUUCAGAAUAGAAGUCCUUUCUUAAGAGAUCCUUGUUGAUCUCAAAGUCCUCAUCACUUAGACUUAUAGUGUUAAUCAUCUGGGAAUAUGUAGGAGACAUAACAGGGGACUCAUCCUGUUGGGAUUCCUGAGUAGACUCAUUUUCCUCAGUGUAAAAUGGUCUAGCCACGUUGGUGUGACUUCUAACACCUGUUAGCUUAAUAUUCUUAAGAUUUCCUGAGUUGGAACCUUCUUCUUCCCUAGUGGUCUAACUAGGAUGGAAGAGCUUGAAGCUCUAGAGGGUUCAUAAACUGAAACUCUAAGACUGCUGGAAUGUCUGAAAGAGUUGGAGAAAACUAAUUCUCCUCCUCCAUCAGGAUAUUGAACAAUUUGUUCAAUACUUUCAGAACGUUGUGCAAUGGCUGGAACAGCUUUAGCAAAAUGGCAAUUUUCAGGAAACUCAACAUCUUUCCACAAGAUCUUCUUGGGGAUGAUGAAGUCUGACUUAUCUAGCAUAUCUGAAUGAAAGUGAGUGGUCUCACCUUUAGGACUGGUGCAAAGAGCCCCAGAUCCAACGCUUGUGUUCAUGCUCUUAUAGGCAAACCUGGUUAUGAUUGAAACAGGACUGUUUCCUGGUUUGAUCUUAAAGCCAUGGGUUUUAAUAUGCAGGACAACGGAAUCUAAGAUGUCUACAUCUCUUAUUCUAACUGUGAAGUUAGGAUAACACUGGAAAUAAACUGGGCCAUCAUUCAGUCCAGCUUGGACUGCGCCUAUAAUAGAAUCUCGAUAUUCGAGAUGCCUAUUAUCCCUUAAACACAUGACAAUAGAGGUGCUUAAACCUAAUCUUGUCAAAGGCUUAGCAGCUACUUGAAUCAAACCAAAGUGUAUGAAAUUAUAGCCAUCUCUCUUAUGCUUUUCAAUGGAUCUGUUAUCUAGAAGUCUUAUGACUUGGUCGUCUUGUUCUAAGCUGAUUGACAUUUUAGAGGUCUUGAUGAUAUAAUCUGUGAAGAACUUAAAGGUUCCUUUCUUAUAAAUUUCUUGAUUAGACACCUUGGGUAACUUCCAAUCAUCUAAAUCAUUUUGGAUCUUAGGAUAAUUGAUCUCUUCACUGUUUACAACAAUAUCUUGAGAAUCACUGGAUCUCCUAAACAUGGUUCUGAAAAUUGAACUCAUUUUAGGGUUUUGAACUAGAGCCUAAUAGCAGAUUGACAAACCUUAUGAGACAUCACCCCAACCCUCUUACAGCCUAACAAACGCCUAUCCACGGCUAAAAACGGCUCAACCGGUAGGGCUCGGGCUCCUAGGCACACUGCUACCUAUCCUAGGAUAGGCCAAAACACCCAAAACAAGACCCAACUUCCCUUCCCGAUGGCUCUGAUACCAUAGACACCCAGGACAAGGUUAUAUAUAUAUAAUAUUAAUUAAUUUAAUAGGAUUAAAAAUGACUAAAAAUUUAAAAAUUAUUAAAUAUUAAAUUAAAAAUUUACUAAAAUAUUUAUAUAUAUUUUAUUAAUAAUAUAUAAUAUAUUACCCCAACCAAAUGUUCACCCAACCACCAUCAAGCUAACUUAACUUUGGAUAUAAAAAAUGACACCUAUUAAAUGUAAAGAAUUAUAAACGAAAAAAUGAAAAAUUUAUUUAUGUAUUAAAAAGAAUUAUUUUAAUAAUAAUUAAUGAUUAUUUUAUAAUUAAAUAAAAAUAUUCCAACAUGAAAAUAAUCAUAAUAAUUUUCUUCACAAAUCUUUUUUUCUAUAUCAUUAAGAUAUUAAUUAAAUGUUAAAAAAAUUAUAUAUAAUCAUCAUUUUAUUUUGUAUUAUUAAAUACAAUUGAAUCAAAUGAAUCUUAAUUUAAUAUUAAAAAUAUUUUUUUAAUUCAACUUAAAUUUUGAAUUCAUUUUUUUUAUAUUAUAUAUUUUUAUAUUUAUAUUAUAUAUAUAUAUAUAUAUAUAUAUAUAUAUAUAUAUAUAUAUAUAUAUAUAUAUAUAUUAUAUUUAUAAAAUGUAUAAUUGUGAACCCCGUAUUUUGGCUUAUGCGUUCCCACUCGAUGGCGAACUCGAUUUUUAUUUGAAAAAAUGUGAUUUAUUGUUUAAAAAAUGACUUGGAGUCGCCACUUAUUUUUGUUAUAUUUUUAAAAGGUAAACAAAAUAAGAAAGAAAACCCUAAAUAUGACUCCUUAUUUGGAAAAGGUGGUCUGCGAAAAACCGGAUCGGGUUCGGGGGUUAGGUUACUUAUUGGGAAGGUACGGUAAAGACCGUAGCACCCCUCUAAGUUCCUAAAAAUGGGUCUCUACUAAUAAAAUGAAACAAUCAUGACAAUUGAUUAAUCGAGCAUGGAUACCAAAUGAAUAUCACUCAAAACAAAAAUAACUAAAUGAAUAGGAGAGACAAAGAAUGUACAUGAGUGAUGAAUCAGUUUACUUCAAUGGAAACAAAUGUUAGCAAUUAAACACUAAAUAAUCCCAUGCAUGUAUUAGAGUGGAAUAAAUCAAUCAUGUAUAACAAUCAAAUCAACCAAUCAAUCAAUCAAUCAUAAAAUCACGUAUGUGGGCCUCCCACCAAAGCUCGAUUUAUUUUAGCAUGAAUUAAUUCCAUAAAUUCCAUUAUUUGGAAUUACAUAAUUAAAUUUCUUGCUUAUCUAAGAUCAAGAGAAACAGAAGAUUAUUUGAGACUCGAAGGGAAUUAAAAUUGUUAGAGAGAAAAUUGGAUUUUUGAAAUUUAUUUGAAAAUUGGAGUAUUGGGAAUUAAAUUUAAGAAUCGGAAUCUUGGAAAUUAAAUUUGAAAGAAAUUAGCGAAUUAUUUGAGAAUUAGAAUUUCGAAAAUUUAAAUUUAAGAAUUGGGAUUUUAGGGAUUAAAUUCGAAAGAAAACAUAAUUUUGAAAAUUAUUUGGGAAGUAGAAACUAUGAAAGUUAAAUUAUUAAAUUACAAAAAUUGGGACUUUAGAAAUUAAAUUUUGAAAGAAAUUAGAAUUGAAAAUUAUUUAAGAAUUAGAAAUUAUGAAAAUUAAAUUAUAUAAAUGGGAAUUUUGGAAAUCAUUUGAAGGAAGAAUUUUUUAAAGAUAAAUAACUAAAAUGAUGAUGAUGAUGAUGAUAAUAAUAAUGAUAAUAAUAAUAAUAAUAAUAAUAAUGAUAAUAAUAAUAACAAUAAUAAUAAAUGAAUGUGAAUAGUAAAAUUUUUGAAAUUGGAAAUUAAAUUUGAGAGUUGGAAUUUUGAAAAAUUAUUUAAAGAUGGAAUUUUAAAAUAAAUAAACGUAAUAAUAAUAAUAAUAACAAAAAUAAUUAUUAAAUAAAUAAACGUGAAUUUUGGAAUUUUGGAAAACUAUUGAAAAAUGAAAUUUUUAAAAAUUUAUUUUGAAAAUGGGAAUUUUGGGAGAUUAUUUGAGGAUGGUAUUUCGGAAAAUUUGAUUUUGAGGACUAGAAUCUUGGAAAAUUAUUUUGAGAGUGGAAUUUUGGAAAAUUAAAUUUCAAAAAUUGAAAUCUUAGAAAAACUAUUUUAGAAAGUGGAAUGUCAAAAAAUUAAAUUUCGAAAACUGGAAUCUCGGAAAAAUCAUUUUUGAGAAUGAAAUUUCGGAAAAUUAAACUUCGAAAAUUAGAAUCUUGGAAAAAAAAAAUAUUUUUGAGAAUAGAAUUUUGGAAAAUUCGAACUUUGGAGAAUUAUUUGAAAAUAAAAAUUUGUUUUGGAAAAUUAAACUUUGAUAAAAAAAAAAUGAAAAUGGAUAAGUGGGCUGCCCGUGACUAAAGGUGGGUUGGAGAAAAGUGGAGAAAAAGUGGGAGAGAGAAAAAGAAUUGAAUAAAUGAUUAAAUAAUGGUUUGGUGGUGAAAUGAGUGGAGGAUAUUCAAACUUAUUAUUUUCUUUCUUUAAUAGGUUGGUCUUGCAUAGUCAACUCAUCAGCAGAGCCUUUUUCCAUUACACCUCAUGUUUUUUCUCUCACUAAACCACCCCACACUGCAUUUUCACAAGCCCAUGAAUUCUCUCCCUAAGAACAUCAAAAUUGGACUUUCACUCACUAAAACCUUACGAACCCGGAAGAUUUUCGUCCCUUCUAAACGAUCAAAAACUCUCUUCAGUAAAAUCAGUAAGACAACACUUAAUCUCUUAUAAUCACAUCCAAACAACGAAUAAAAACCGGAAAAAAAAAAUACCUAAAAAAAAUGAGACAGAAUUGAAUAUUAAUGAAAAGAAAUAAGAUUCAUGGCAACCAUACCUGGAAAAGCUUCAAGACAACCUCUCUCCAGCUUUUCCUUCUUUUCCCAAAAAAAUCCUCCCAACUACUGCCCGUUUUCCUCUUCUUCUCUCCAAAACGUCUCCGUUUUCUUUUUCAGCUACUGCCCCCCCAAAACCGAAAACCCCUUUCAAUAAUUUCUCCACUGUUUUCUUUUAUGCCUGAGAAUCCUCUUAGCCUGCUGCCCGUUUUUCACUUCAGAAAAUCUUUUCCCAAAAAAAAAAACCCCCGCCCCUCUCUUGACUUUUCCAACCUCCCUAAAACUCUCUUUUCUCUCCAAAACAUCUUGUCCCCCUUUUCCAACUCACCCACUCUCCUAAAAAUAUCUCUUUCCCGCAAAAAAAAAAACCCCAAAUGCCUAUAGACUCAAAACGAGGGUCUACAAAUAUGCCCAUCUUCGGUAGAGAUCACGAGUGUAAGGAAUAUGAACACUGAAGUGAUAAAGAAAGUGUGAAUAGUGAGUGGAAUGAAGUAAACUCUACCGAAGAACAAAGGAGACCCCCAAAAGGACACUAGUGAAACUAGAACUCACUCAAGCCAACAAAUGAACAAAGGGCUCUAAUCCUAAGAGAAAAGUGGAUCUCUCAAAGUGCCUCUAAAGCUACACUAAGGACCUAGACUCCCUCUAAGACGUCUUUAAAAGUGACUCGAAGAUCAAUGUCAAAGAUGAGUAACGGUCGAACCACCCUGAAGUAUAAGAAAGAACGCGUCCAAAUGAGACUCCCUAUGUGAACUACAUGAGAAUGCUAGGUGUAGGGUGCCCAACAACAUGACAGAAAUAUGUGCCGUGAACUCAAAGAACUGUGCCAUGUGUAGUGGAAGGGGAAGUCUAGAAGAGCAUGGUGAACAAACAAUAACCACCAGGUGACCAAGUGAAGAGAAUGACUCUGAAUGCCCUAAAUGGAGGAACAAUAGUGACCCAAAAUGCCUAGAUGAGUAUGCACAAUUGCUCUGAACACCAAAUCUGAAGAUGUGACUCUAAAUGUCAUACUAAAUAAAGACCCUAAACGCCGAACUGAGCUGAUAAGAAGAUGACCGAUCGAUAUAGGUAUGUCCUUGACUCAAACUGAACUGACAUGAUGAAUGACCGAUCGAUUAAACUAACAAGAUGAUGACCGGUCGAUAUAGGUGCGGUCCCAAAAACAUAAACUCAAACUGACAAGAUGAUGAUCGAUCGAUAUAGGUGUAGUCUCGACUCAAACUGAAAAUGACAAUGAUAGGAAGAUAGUCGAUCGAUAUAGGUGCGACCCCGAAGACUCAAACUGAAAUGGAUAAUGAUGAUGAUCGAUCGAUAUAGGUGCGGUCCCAAAAACACAAACCUAAACUGACAAGAUGAUGACCGAUCAAUAUAGGUGCAGUCCCGACUCAAGCUAAAUAGAAACCGAUAGGAAAAUGGUCUAUCGAUAUAGGUGCGGCCUCGAAAACAUAAGCUGAAGUGAAAUAGACAAGAUGAUGACCGAUAGAUAUAGGUGCGGCCCCAAAAACACAAACUGACACAGAAAAUGACCGAUCGAUAUAGGUGCGGUCCUAGAAAACUCAAACUCAAACUGACAAGAAAAAUGACUGAUUGAUAUAGGUGCGGUCCCGACUCAAACUGAAAUAGACAAUGAUCUGAUCAAGUGGCCCAAAGCCAUAGAAUACUAAGAUGAUGAUGCAAACAGACUCGGAAGGAGGGGAUAUGCCCCAGUAUGACAACUCAUGAGGAUCAAUAAUUAGGUCCAAAGAUAAUGAAGUCUGUGAAAGGUCUGAUGAUCCUAGGGAAUGAGGGUAUGCCCCAGUAUGUAACUCGCAGGGGUGAACAACUAGAUCAAAAGGUGAAUGAAGCCUAUGGAAGGUUUGAUGCCCUCGGAGAAAGGGUAUGCCCCAGUAUGUGACAGUGAACAGACUAGGAUACACAAUGCCUCAAAACUACUAUGCUCUGAAAUAUGCUCAAUCAUCAUGUAAUGAAAAUGUCCAACCUCAAAUAGGUAAUGUCAAAUAGGACCAUGUAUCGUGACACCAUGGUGACAAAACAAAACUAAUUGAUGUAUAACAACAAUAAUGAUCAGUGCUCAAAAUGCAAAGUGCAAACAAAUCAACACUCAACAUGCCAACUAUCAAAGUGAAAACAUCAUCACUAGUAAGUCAACAAUUUGUCAGGCCUUGUCAUCAUGGAAGAUGUUGAACCUAAAGUCUAAAAGAUAUAUGAAAGCACAACCAAAAUGAUCGAGGACUGAUCCACGUCUCCUCCUAAUCGAGAAAGAGGUGAGGUCAUGUGUCACGGUGGGAUGUGUAAGAUAAAAGAAGGUGAUGAUCAGGCUCGGGUAAGAUAGGAAACAUGAAAGUAUCGAGAGUGGAAUGUCUGGGUGUGAAAUGGAAAACAGGCAGGUAUCCGAGAUCAUCCAAGUAUGCCGAGAAGACUAGACCCAAGGUGUCAAUAGCUCCAUAAUCCAUCGAAAGCAGCAAUCACAAACAAAAAGUCAAAUCUCGAUGCCAAAACAUCCGACUAGGUGGCUAUGCCCCAGUAUGCAAUGUGGACAACAUGAAAUAAUCCAAAUGAUCUCUAUAUCAAUCGUCAAAGGCUCCAAUGUAAAGAACCAAUCGGAUCUCCCUCCAAAAUAUGGAUAUGCCCCAGUGUAAAGGAUCCAAUAGGGUGGCUAUGCUCCCAUGAAAAAUACUCUCCAUGCCAGCUAUGCCCCAGUAUAAACCAUCUGAGGUAACUAUGCUCCAAGAUAAAUCAAAGUCCAUCCCCAAUGAGAUGGUUAUGCCUUAGUAUGUGUCCUCAGAAUAAGGUCAAUGUCAUCCCUCAAUGCAUGCACAAUCUCUGAAGCAACCAUGUCUCAAAAUAAACCAUCAUCUCAAAAAAAUCAACCAUCGAUGAGAGGAGUGUCUCAAUGCAGAAUAUCAAGUAGAGUGACUGUAUCUCCAAUAAAAACACUCUUUGAAAUGGCUAUGCCUUAGUGUAGGGUCGUCCCAUAACUCCUAAUCCAUCAUAAUCCAAGUGAAAAAGCGAAUUGACCAUGCCUCCAUGCAGAGCGUCAUCCCACUAAGAAACCGUCAUCGAUAAGUAGGGUAUGCCCCAAUGUAGAUAACAUCACCUCUGAAAAUCCAUCACUGAUAAGAGGGGUAUGCCCCAGUGUGAAUCAUCAUCUCAACUCCCCAUCCAUCAUGCUCCAAGAAAUAAUCUCUGACCAAGCUCGAGUAUUGCCCACAUGUGAGCUGUCAAACACAAUGUGAAGUCAUGGCCUCAGGAUGGUCUUCAGACAUGGGAUGUAAUGUAGGCUAAGGUAAUAAGGUGGAAGAAAUGAAAGGAAACUAGGCUCAAAUUUCCCGAUGAUAUAAUCCUCAUACCCCUCAUGCAUGAAAUGCAAUGCAUAGAAACAUCUUGAGUCCCGGACCUAGGAGCCCCCACACGAAAAGUGAUGAUAAAGGAAUGGACACAUCGAAUUAGCAAGAAUAAAAUGUGGAUGCUGAACCCAAGUCAAACAUCAAGCAGGAUGAGAAAAGAAAGAAAUCGGAUGAGACUUGGUGAAAUGAAUGAAUAGAACAAAGAUAAAAAAAGGUAAAGAAAUAGGAAAGUGAGUGAUGGUCAACCUGCAUCAAAGCAUGGAAAAUAGUCACAUCCGAAACAAAAGGAAUGAUGGAUAGAGCAAGGAUCCAGAGAUACUAAAGAAAGGUCGCUCGCCUCUCUCACAAAAAUCAUAUAGGCAAUUCAUAUCACCCAAAAUAUACAAAGAUAGAAUCUCAGAAAGAAGCUCUCAUACGAAGUCUCUCUGACACAUGGACUCAAUGAAGUAAACUAACACAUCCAUACACAUGACCAAUGGAGAAUAAUAAAAUGAACAAUGCGCUAUCAUUUCAUUUUUUUUUUUUUUUUUUUUUUUUUUUUGCAAUUACACUGAUCAAUACUGAAAGAUCUCAUAUGGAAUACAUAGCCAAAUGAAUAAACUCUCCCCAUGUAUUAAUGCAACAUGAAUCCUCACUAACAAGACAACCUCUCAAAAUAAGAUCUCUAAACCACUGCUCAUAAGGUGAACGGGGGGAAAGAACGUGACAAUCCUCCAUGCAGUGACGUGUGAGAAACCACCACUCAAGGUGGAACAAAGAUAAUGUCGAGUAAGUAAGGAUGUGAGAAAAGACAAAGAACGAAUAUCACAAGUGGUGAUAUGUGAUAUUGGAAAAUAGUGAUGAAAUGCUGUCCAAGUGGAAAAUAUCACAAUGAAAGUGAGAAAUGAGACCCGAAUAUGUGUGUUAGGUCUGGAACUCAUGAAGUAUCUAAUCAAAGCAUGCAAGCACUACAAGGCCCCCAACUAGGUGAAAUAGGUAAAUGAGGUGAUGAAAGAACAGGUUAUGUGCUCAUGUGAGGCUCAAUGAGCUAACAAUGGGUAACUCUAUAUGCAAGGGUGAUAAAGUAAAUAGGCUCCUGAAAUGAUGGUCACCCAUCAUUUGACCACAACCUCGAACAUCGUGCUUUCGAGAUCUCACAUGUUCAAUACUAAAACUAGCAUCCGUCCAACAAAGUCAUGUCAACUCUUCUGAAACCGUGUGAAAGCUCCCACUGAGGCUCUGUGAUAACCAUCAAUGCCCUAUGAUAAUCAUCUCACUCUAUCAUCAUAACUUACUCACCAUCGUCUCAUAAAAUCAAUCUCUUUGAUUGCAUCAAAACACCUAAAGUCAUGUGCAAUGACUCAAAUCUGGAUGAUCCAUGACGUCUCCUCUGCCUCAACAACAUCAUCAAGUAGUCAAACCACUCUCUCAUCAUGAUCCAUCUAUCAUCAUGUAGACCUCAUCUCAGGUCAAACCAUCUCGGACUCUACCUAGUCAGAUCAAGGAAAUGAUGGAAAGAAUAGGCAAUGGUACUGUAAUAUGCUAAGGUGAACAAUUGAUGGUAAAGGCGUACAAUGGUAUCAAAGGGUGGUGUCAUGUCAAGCUCAAAAUGGGUAGGUCAUCAAGUCUAAAAAGUUAAAGUAUGGAUGUGGUGUUGCUGCUCUGAUCAGAAGAUGAAAGGAGGCAUAGUCUUGAGCUCACUAGGUCGAUUUCCUAAUCCUAAGUCAAUAGGCUCAAUAUCCUCCAUGAUAGGUCAGGCCCAAGUGAUCAUGAUGUAAGUGAGAGAUGUCUCAUAUCGAAAGCAUAACACACAUUAACACAAGAUAUGAAAUGUAUACUCAUGAGAAAGGAGAAUAACACAUACUCAAAAUAAAAAGAUCAUGUCACUAAAUGAACAAAAUGAGUACAUCAUGUGUGAAGCAAUAAAGGACUACAAACGAUUAGACUUUCAGCAUGAACUAUAAACAACGACUCUGAACCAAACUGGACUCAACAAAGCAACUCUAAUGAACUAAAAACUGGACUCAACAGAACAGAAACAACCCUGAUGACGACCAUAAUCAAAAUGAAAGGCGCUCUGAGUUAAACCGCUGCAAAAUAAUGUACUCAUGUCGACAGAACCAAGUCCUCAACCCGGAAUAUCCCAAAAUACCAUAUGACCCUCAAUACCAUUGACAUCCAAAUCAAUCUACUAAAGACCAGGAGGAGGAGGAACUGCAUGUGUAGAAUGUGUAGGCAGGGGAUUGGUGGUCCCACUCGGCCUAGCUAAAUCAACCAACCCUGAAUCAAUCAAAUCAUAUAUCGCAUAAUGGAGUGUUGAACAACGCUCAGUAUCGUGCCCCUGAAUUUGAUGAUAUAAGCAAUGCUCAUGUGAGCGGAAAUGAGGAAUAGGAUGCGGCAAAGGUCUCGGUGCCAAAGGAACAAUGAAUCCAGUGUCUCUGAGCUUCUCAAAAGCUCUAGUCAAAGUCAUGCCUAAUGGAGUAAACUAUCUCGCAGGCCUCUGUGCAUAUGGUCUAGGUGGCGAGUGAGUAGUGACCCUUGGAUGUGGUGGUCGUGGUUGUAUGCUAGUCUGAGCAAUGUAAGGCUCUUGAAUAUAAAUCGGUUAAUACUGAUACUACGGAUGAGAGAAAUGAGCUCUAACUGGAGGAGACCUAUAAGGUAAGUGAUGCGCAGGCCUCUGGUGCUGAUAGCUAAUACCACCAACCUCUCUAGAUCUACUAGGUGAUCUAACCGGCUUCUUUCCCUUACUGUUAGGGGAAGUAGCAAUAUUUGUUCAUAAUCCUCGAGCAAUGGCCUCCUCAACACUAAAAGUCGCAUGAACCAAACUCUUAAGAUCCUGAAAUGGGAUGCCCACAAGACGUCUAGCGAACCUCGGCUGUAGGUUCCGAAGAACCAUAUCAAUCUGAUCCUGCUCUUUAAGUCGGUCUAUCAUACCAGCCACUUUUGCCCUCCAACAAGUGACAAAGGAAGAAAUAGACUCGUCUGGAUACAUCAAUAUCGGCAUUGAAAGCAAACUGAGUCAGGAACUCAUGAGCCAUAUCCUCCCAGGUGCGAAGUCUUGAAGGCUCAACUGAAGUGAACCAUCUCUGAGCUGCUCCGCUAAGCGACAUAGGGAAGAGGGCCACCAACUGUGCAUCAUCUAUCCCAUGUGCUCUCAUGACUGUGUUGUAUAGUCUCAAAUGGAUCUUGGGACAACCAAUCCCACUAUAGCGCUCAAUAUCUGGCAUGCGAAACUUGGCGGGCAAGCUAGCCUCUGGUAUGUCAUCCCUAUCAUCCCAAAUCAAACCUCCAUCCUGUAAUUUGAUCUGUCUCAUCCUGGCCUCAAGCCUUUCAACCUUAGCCUCCUGCUCGGUCAAUCUAGUAUCAUCGGUAGUAGCAAAAAUGGGAGGCAACACUAUGGUAGCAAGUAGUGGAGUAGUCUCACAAUGAUCUGAUAGAUGGAAUGGAACGCCAUGUAGUCCCAAGUGAAAGAACCUGCGCUAUCUGAGGUACAUGGGGAACUGUAUCGUCAGUGCUAACGCAGACUGGAUGAUGAUCCUGGCGAGAACUCUCUAUCUAAUCUAAACGUCUACUAACCCCUGCCAUGAACUCCUGAAUAGGAGCAAGUGUGGAAGCUAGCUCGUCUAACAUCUCGACCAAACUGUCUAAACUCUUAUAUGAAUCUAUUCUGAUCAAUCAACCUCCAACUCUCCUCCAAUGAUGUAACUCCAGACUCAAUCAACUCCUAAAAUGAUUCCCUACAAUGCAAAUGAAAUGGAUGAAGGACACAGGAUAAGACCUUAAAAAAACAACAGUAUAACAUGCAAGCACAUGGUCCUGAGGUGGCAAUCCGAAAUCUGAAUGUAUGAUGAGAACUUUAGAAUCAUAAAGGUGUCCACUAUGAGAUGGCUACAAAUAUGACUAGAGAAUUCCUAUCAAUAAUCCAAGAUGAAAGAAGUGUGAGAAAUACACUAUCACGAGAUCAAUACUCCAUCUAUAACCACAUAUCUUUAACUCAACCUUCAACUCGAGCUCCAUAAGAGAAAAAAAAAAUGAUAAGGUGAUCAAGAAAAAAUGAUAAGGUGAUCAAGGCAGAUCUCUCGAAAAAUGUGUGAACGUGAAAAUGUGUCUUUCACUUUUCCGUAAUAAAAAUAUGAGCAUCGAGUUGAAAAUUAUCAAUGAUCAAACAAAGAAUGGUGUAUCGAGCCCGUGAUAGGUGCACAGUGUAAAAAAAAUGAUCAUGAUAGAUGAACAUGUCCCAAAACAUCAAGUAAGUGACAGCAAAGUGAAUGGAUGUGUCGAGCCAAGAAAGGAAAACGAAAGCCUUAGGGAGAAAACAUGUUAAACUCAUCGAGUGAGAAACGUAAUCCAAGAUGACCUGACAAAGGUGAUCUAACCGAUACUCAAACUCAUAACGAUCUUUGAGCACUCUCAAUUGGAGACUAAAGAGGGAGUAUUGAAUCCAAACUAUGAUUAUAGAGGCUCUGAAGGCUCUCAGAUGCACCCACGUGUGAGGAAAUAAUCCUAAUCAAAGGAUCUAAGCUCAUUCUACAAGGUCAAGGUGGCCCUAAAAUGAGAUGGGUGGACUUUAAAAGAUCCAUAGCGGAAGCGAUCGUACCUUUCAGUGGUACGCAACCCUCUGCACGCCUCUAGAAGAGACGGAGUGCUUCCAUGCAAGGUGGUCAUCACCUCCACACAUGCACUACCUUGCAUCCCAGGUGGCUCCUAUGGUGAAAGCUCUCCUAAUGGCUGGCGUACCUCACAACUCGGAUCACUCAUCGAUGAUCUAAGGUGCACAGUGAGUGGUGUGGGUGCAUUCGAAAAUCCUAUGAAACAAAAAAGAAAACACAUUGGUUACACAAAUAUCCUGAAAUCUAGCUCUAGGCUAUACAAGUCUUCAAAGUUCGGACUCCAAUCAGCAUCAAUAUGUCGACCACCUCCAGAAUGCUCCCAAACACAGAUAUAGCCCAUAGCUAGACCAUAUUCCUAAUCACUAGCUCGGUCGAAGAGCAAACAAAGCAACAAGUCUCAUAUCAAAUAUGAGAUCCUAGAAAAAUAAUGUCGACCGAGAUUAAGGACUUGGAGAUAAGGGGAUAGGUGUGUGUCCCACAUAGACAUGCAACUCAUGCAAUCACACGGAAUGAAAGGAGUCAUACAAUAGACAGUCAUGCAAAACAAGUAUAUAUCAUCCAAAUCUACACACAAGCUAAUCGAGAUGAGUAUCUAGCGAUGGUAGCAUGCUCAAUAACAAUCAUGAUAAUAUACAACUAAGAAUCAAACAUGUGAAAAUGAACGAGAUAUGCAACGAGAAUAAUGUACAUGUCAAUGUGAGCAGAGUGAUCAUACAACCAGAAGAGUUAAUAUGUAAGGAUAAGCGAAAGGAUCAAUCAAUAUAAUCAACAUGUCAAUGUCUCAAACGAAUACAAUAACCAAGCAUGCAUCAAGGACAAUGAUAUCAAGAACUCUCAAUGUGCAAUCAAUAGUCAAGAAAACUGAAACAAAAAGAGAGGUGUGUAACCACUAAUCGACUAAUCAAACACCACAUUUGCCCCAUCUUAAGUUCAAGCUUGACCCUCUAGUGAUCCCUAGUGGAGUUGCCAUUUUGUGGACCCCGUAUUUCGGCUCAUGCGUUCCCACUCGAUGGCAAGGUCGAUUUUUAUUUGAAAAAAAUGUGAUUUUUUGUUUAAAAAAUGACUUAGAGUCACCACUUAUUUUUGUUUUAUUUUUAAAGGGUAAACAAAAUAAGAAAGAAAACCUUAAGUGUGACUCCUUAUUUGGAAAAGGUGGUCUGCGAAAAAUCGAAUCGGGUUCGGAGGUCAGGUUACUUAUCGGGAAGGUACUGUAAAGACCGUAGCAUCCCUCUAAGUCCCUAAAAACGGGUCUCUAUUAAUAAAAUGAAACAAUCAUGACAAUUGAUUAAUCGAGCAUGGAUACCAAAUGAAUAUCACUCAAAACAAAAAUAACUGAAUGAAUAAGGGAGGCAAAGAAUGUACCUGAGUGAUGAACUGGUUUACUUCAAUGAAAACAAAUAUUAGCAAUUAAACACAGAAUAAUCGCAUGCAUGUAUUAGAGUGAAAUAAAUCAAUCAUGUAUAACAAUCAAAUCAACCAAUCAAUCAAUCAAUCAUAAAAUCACGUAUGUGGGGCCCCCACCAAAGCCCGAUUUAUUUUAGCAUGAAUUAAUUCCAUAAAUUCCAUAAAUUCCAUGAUUUGCAAUUACAUAAUUAAAUUUCUUGCUUAUGUAAGAUCAAGAGAAACAGAAGAUUAUUUGAGACCCGAAGGGAAUUAAAACUGUUAGAGAGAAAAUUGGAUUUUUGAAAUUUAUUUGAAAAUUGGAGUCUUGGGAAUUAAAUUUAAGAAUCAGAAUCUUGGAAAUUAAAUUUGAAAGAAAUUAGCGAAUUAUUUGAGAAUUAGAAUUUCGAAAAUUUAAAUUUAAGAAUUGGGAUUUUAGGGAUUAAAUUCGAAAGAAAACAUAAUUUUGAAAAUUAUUUGGAAAGUAGAAACUAUGAAAGUUAAAUUAUUAAAUUACGAAAAUUGGGACUUUAGAAAUUAAAUUUUGAAAGAAAUUAGAAUUGAAAAUUAUUUAAGAAUUAGAAAUUAUGAAAAUUAAAUUAUAUAAAUGGGAAUUUUGGAAAUCAUUUGAAGGUGGAAUUUUUUAAAGAUAAAUAACUAAAAUGAUGAUGAUAAUAAUAAUAAUAAUAAUAAUAAUAAAUGAAUGUGAAUAGUAAAAUUUUUGAAAUUGAAAAUUAAAUUUGGGAGUUGGAAUUUUGAGAAAUUGUUUAGAGAUGGAAUUUUAAAAUAAAUAAACGGAAUAAUAAUAAUAAUAAUAAUAAUAAUAAUAACGAAAAUAAUGAUUAAAUAAAUAAACGUGAAUUUUGGAAUUUUGGAAAACUAUUGAAAAAUGAAAAUUUUAAAAAUUUAUUUCGAAAAUUGGAAUUUUGGGAGAUUAUUUGAGGAUGGUAUUUCGGAAAAUUUGAUUUUGAGGACUAGAAUCUUGGAAAAUUAUUUUGAGAGUGGAAUUUUGAAAAAUUAAAUUUCAAAAAUUGAAAUCUUAGAAAAACUAUUUUAGAAAGUGGAAUGUCAGAAAAUAAAAUUUCGAAAACUGGAAUAUUGGAAAAAUCAUUUUUGAGAAAGAAAUUUCGGAAAAUUAAACUUCGAAAAUUAGAAUCUUGAAAAAAAAAAUAUUUUUGAGAAUAGAAUUUUGGAAAAUUUGAACUUUGGAGAAUUAUUUGAAAAUAAAAAUUUGUUUUGGAAAAUUAAACUUUGAUAAAAAAAAUGAAAAAAAAAAUUAAAAUGGAUAAGUGGGUUGCUCGUGAAUAAAGGUGGGUUGGAGAAAAGUUGAGGAAAAAGUGGGAGAGAGAAAAAGAAUUGAAUAAAUGAUUAAAUAAUGGUUUGGUGGUGAAAUGAGUCCAGGCUAUUCAAACUUAUUAUUUUCUUUCUUUAAUAGGUUGGUCUGUCAUAGUCAACUCAUUAGCAUAUCCUUUUUCCAUUACACCUCAUGCUUUUCUCUCACUAAACCACCCAACACUGCAUUUUCACAAACCCAUGAAUUCUCUCCCUAAGAACAUCAAAACUGGACUUUCAUUCACUAAAACCUUACGAACCCGGAAGAUUUUCGCCCCUUCUAAACGAUUAAAAACUCUUUCCAGUAAGAUCAGUGAGACAACACUUAAUCUCUUAUAAUCACAUCCAAACAACAAAUAAAAACCGAAAAAAAUACCCUAAAAAAAUGAGACGGAACUGAAUAUUAAUGAAAAGAAAUAAGAUUCAUGGCAAUCAUACCUGGAAAAGCUUCAAGACAACCUCUCUCCAGCUUUUCCUUCUUUUCGUUCCUCUGUUCUGCACUUUAGAUUUUUUUUUUCCCAAAAAAAUCCUCCCAACUGUUGCCCAUUUUCCUCUUCUUCCCUCCAAAACGUCUCCGUUUUCUUUUUCAGCUACUGCCCCCUUCCCCAAAACCGAAAACCCCUUUCCAGAUUUUCUCCUCUGUUUUCUUUUCUACCCGAUAAUCCCCUUAGCCUAUUGUCCGUUUUUCACUUCAGAAAAUCUUUUCCCAAAAAAAAAAAAAAACCCCUGCCCCUCUCUUGACUUUUCCAGCCUCCCUAAAACUCUCAUUUCCCUCCAAAACAUCUUGUCCCUCCUUUUCCAUCUCACCCACUCUCCUAAAAAUAUCUCUUUCCCCCAAAAAGAAAACCACAAAUGCCUAUAGACCCAAAACGAGGGUCUACAAUAAUAUAUAUAAUGUUAAUUAAUUUAAUAGGAUUAAAAAGGACUAAAAAUUAUUAAAUAAAAAAAUAUAUAUAUAUAUAUUAAUAUUUUAUUAAUAAUAAUAAUAUAGUUUUCUUGCCAAUUUUGGAGUUGGAGGAUUGAACCCCAACCAAAAUGUUUAUUUAUUCAUCUACGUACCAACAAGCUAUCUUAACUUUUGCUAUAAGAUAUGACACCUAUUAAAUCUAAAGACUUAUAAACAAAAAAAUGAAAAAAUUAUGUAUGAAUUAAAAAGAAUUAUUUUAAUAAAUAAUUAAUAAUUAUUUUAUAAUUAAAUGAAAAUAUUUCAACAUGAAAAUAAUUAUAAUAAUUUUCUUCACUAAUCUUUUUUUCUAUAUCAUUAAUAUAUUAAUUAAAUGUUAAAAAAUUAUAUAUAAUUAUUAUUAAUUUUCUAUUAUUAAAUAUAAUUGAAUCAAAUGAAUCUUAAUUUAACAUUAAAUAUAUUUUUUUAAUUCAAUUUGAAAUUUGAAUUCAAAUUUUUUAUAUUACAUAUUUUUAUUUUUAUAUUAUAUUAAAUUUAUAUUAUAUGUAUAAAAUAUAUAAUAUUGAUUAAUUUAAUAGGAUUAAAAAGGACUAAAAAUUUUAAAAUGAUUAAAUAUUAAAUUUAAAAUAUUAAUAAAUUGUUUUUAUAGAUUAAUAUUUUAUAUGCAUAUUUUAUUAACAAUAUAUAAUAUAUUUUUCGCCAUAUGGCUGUCCCAAAAUUUGGCCAAAAGGAUUAAUUAUUUACCCACCCACCAUCAAGCUAACCUAACCUUUGUUAUAUGAUAUUACACCUAUUAAAUAUAAAGACUUAUAAAAUAAAUCUUAAUUUAAUAUUAAAUAUUUUAAAACUAAACAUAAUAUAAUCAAAUGUAAUAAUAUCCAAAAAAAAAAAGGUAUUCUAGCACAAAUGUUUGGGUUAUAAAUGUCUAGCUAGUCAUAUAUAAGGUGAAAGAUGAAAAUCAUUUAUUACUAAUAUUAUGUAACUCUUUUAUCAUAAUAUUCAUUAUUGAUCCACUUUCAGAUAUUUUAAUCUAUCUCUGAUAAAAUCUCCAACAAUACUACAAUGAGACUAAAACAAAAAUGGUUAUGUUUAUAUUUAAAAUUAAUAAAUUAUUUUUAUAUAUUAUUAAAAAAAAUGACAUAUAUUCUAUGUAUUCUCUACCUAUACUUUCCUCCACACUAGUACUUGUAAUCUUGAAAUUUAUUUUCCUUCUCCUGUAAAACAAAAAUGGUUAUGUUUAUAUUUAAAAUUAAUAAAUUAUUUUUAUAUAUUAUUAAGAAAAAUGACAUAUAUUCCAUGUAUUCUCUACCUAUACUUUCCUCCACACUAGCACUUGUAAUCUUGAAAUUUUUUUUCCUUCUCCUGAUCCUUCCUAAGACCCGAUACCCUCCCUUAGUAGUAUAAAUUAUUAUUCUUAAUCAUUAUUAUUAAUUAAAAUUAUAUUAUUUAAUUAUUUUAUUGUGUCAAAAACAAUAAGGUAUUUAAAAUCAAGGAUAAAUUUGUAAAACUAUUAAUAAAAGAUAAAUAUGUUACAUAACAAAUAUAUUUAUAGACCCUAAAAUUUGUCCUAAUUUUAUCUUGUAUUGAUUCUAAACCCAAUUUUAUACUUAGUUUUCAAUUUUAAGACUUUUGACUGUUUUGGCCCAUUCAUCCCUUUAAAUCUGUCCAAUUUUAUACUUAAUUUUCAAUUUUAAGACUUUUAAUUGUUUUGACCUACUCAUCCCUUUAAAUUAUUAUUAUUAUUAUUUGUAAAUCCCAAAAUUUAUCAUAAUUUUAUUUUGUAUUGAUUUUGAACCCCUUUUUUUAUCUUUGUAUUUCAAUUUUAAAUAUAUUUGAUUUUUUUCUGCCCACUCAUCCCUUUUUAAUUUUAUUUUUUGUUAUUAUUAUUAUUAUUAGUUAUUUUAUUUUAUUUUUAUAUUUUGAUUAUUAUUUUCUUUUUCUCAUUUUUUUUAUCUUAUUAUUAUUAUUUUAUUAUUUUCUCUCUCUCCUCACUUUCUCCUCCAAAACCCUAACUUCCCCCCGCUCCCUUUUCCCCUCUCUUCUUCCCUCCCUUCUUCAUUCUCCCCCCACCCCCCCACCCCACAAAAAAACAAAAAAACCUUAACUCCCCCAUUUUUUUCUUUUUUCUUUUUCCCUCUCUUUUUCUUUCUUUUUUUGGGGAAGAGAAAAAAAAGCCAGAGUAUUUGAGGGUGCUGUGUGGAGGUCCUUUUUUUUUUUUUUUUAGUUGAGAGAGUAGGGUUUUGAUUCUUAGGGAGCAAGAUUUUUUUUGAGAAAAACAUGGAGAAGAGAGAACUGAGCAUUACUUGCUGGAAGCAGAGAGCUGAGAGAUAGCAUAGCAAUGAGAGUUCUUUUUUUUUUUUUUUUUUGAAAACAUUGCAUGUGAGUUGUGAAGAACUAGAGAGAGUGGAAGCCAGGAGAAUUCAUUUUUGAGGAUGGUGGAGUGACGACUGGUUCUGUGAGAGGGCAGAGCUAAGCUAAAGGGAGCAGCAACCGGUUUUGGGAGGAAGGAAGCCGAGUUUGAGGUUGGAGCAACACAUGAGGUGAGAAGUCGAGUUUGGUUUUAUGGCAUUCACUGCAUUUAUUCUGGUUUGAGGUGUAUACAACUAAAAUCCUCUCUAUUCUUGGGAUUAUUUUGAUAUUUAGAUUCCAGGUUUUUAUGCUCUAUUUUCAUAGUUGUCUUGGCUUGUGUUUUCGUUAGUGUUUCUGAGCUCGAGAGGCAAGAAACUGUGUUCGUGGGGAAGCGGAACUCUAUUGUUUUUUUAUAUAGUGGUGCUUUUCUGUGUAUGCCAUCUAUCAAAUGAUGAAGUGCAGAAUGGGAGGUAGCGUACACAGUUGAAAAGGCAUGCUGCCUUGGUUUAUUUGGAGUAAUAUUUAAUAUCUAAGUAUGAUCAUGGGUCCCACAUGUAUGACUUUUUGACCACUUCAUGCCCAACCACCCUCAUGCAUGGCCGUGUGUUUUACUCCCAUGCCAUGUGUCAUAUUUUGAGAUAUUUCCAUAAGUAGAAAAACUUGGAGAUGUGGCCCCACCUAAUUUCUUGAUGCAAUUAGUUUAAUUUCUUCAUCUUUUUAUUUUCUUCGUUGGAUAUUUCUUUUAGGUUAAUAAGAUUCAAUCUCUCAAAUAAAAUUUUUGAUUCCAUUUUUUUUUCCUUUAGGGAUGUGUUAAAACAAUAUUUAAUUAAUUCCUCAAAUUUUCAAAUUUUAAAUAAUUUUUAUCAAUCUUCACCAAUUUUCAAUAAUUCAGUUUACUUAAUUUCUCAAAUUUCUAAAUUUCUUUAUUAUUAAAAUUUCUCAAUCUUCACAAAUUUUUAAUAAAAUUUCCAACUCUUCCUUUUUGGAUUAAUUUGAAUAUUAAUUUGGAUAUUAUGUUUAGGUUUGUGAUUAAUUUGGAUAUUAUGUAGAAAUUUUGGGUUGAAAUUUGGAUAAUUUUGGGAUGUUAUUUUGGAUGGUUUAAUUAAGUUAGUAUAUGUUUAUUUUGUAUUAAUUAAUUAUUGUGUAUUGAAUUUGUAUUUUAAUUUUGGAUAUUAAAUUUGGCCUUAAUUAGAUUUAUUUGGAUUUAUUUCAUUUUUUUUAUUAAAUAUUAAGCUUAGAUAUUUAUAUUGGAUAGUGGGCUUGGUUAUUAUUAUUAUUUCAUUUGGCCUUAAAUGUUUAUAUUGGGCUUGGGUUGUUAUUAUUAUUUUAUUUGGAUUUGGAUAUUGGACUUAGUAUUGUUAUUAUUAUUUCAGUUGGGCUUUAAUAUAUGCAUUGGUUUGGGCCUUGGAUAUUUAACUUAUUGAUUUUGGGCUUUUGGUUAAUUUUGGGUAUUAUUAAUGUUAAAUUUGCAUUUAUUUGAUUUGAAUAUUGUGUAAAUUUUGGGUUGUUUUGAUAAUUGUAUUUAGACUUUGGGUUAAUUUGGACAUUGGGUAUAUUUGGUUAAUUUAAAUAUUGUGUGUGCAUUUUGGGGUUAAUUUGAAUGUUAAUUUGAAUAUUGUGUUUAAGUUUUUGGUUAAUUUGAAUAUUGUGUGUAAAGGGGUUGGAUUUAGAUGAUUUUGGGAUUUUUUUUUUGAAUGAUUUAAUUUUAAGUUAACAUGUUUUUAAUUUGUAUUGAUUAAUUAUUGUGCUAUUUUAAUUUGAAAUAUUAAAUUUGGGCCUAAUUAUUUUCAUUUUUUAGAUUUGGGCUUUGAAUAAUUGUAUGGACUUUUGGGCUUGGAUAUUUUUAUUGAAUAUUGGGUUUAGAUAUUUAUAUUGGAUGUUGGGCUUGGAUAUUGUUGUUAUUAUUUGAUUUGGACUUUGGGCAUUUAUAUUGGAUAGUGGGUUUGGGUAUUGUUAUUAUUAUUUGAUUUGGGCUUGAACAUUUGUAUUGUAUAUUGGGCUUGUUGGGUUUGGAUAUUUAUAUUGGUUAUUUGGGCUUGGAACUCAUUACUAUUUCAUGUGGGCUUUGGAUAUUUGUAUGGAAUUUUGGAUAUUGGGCUUGAACAUUUAUAUUAGAUAUUGGGCUUGGGUUAUUAUUAUAGCUUUUGGACUUUGGACAUUUGCAUUUAAUAAAAAUAGGAUGAGAGUUAGACAUUUAAAUUUUAUUUGAAUGUAUUCAUGGAACUUUCAUUUAUUCAAUUAAUUGUAUCUCACAAAUUUCGACUUUCCUUGUUUGUAGAAAAAGAGUUGGAAUUACAAAGGCAAACUAAUGCUAGAAAGUACUCAAGCCUUCAUAGAGGUUGAAAUAUGAACAUAGCUGCGAGACUCGAGAUUUGGAUAUAUCAAAAGUAAGAGGUCAUGAACCUUGAUUACCACAUCCUUAUCAAGAUUUAGAUGGAUUGCAUCAAAUAAACCUCGAGAGUUGAUGUAUAUUUUAGUUUUUUUACUUGUGUUUUUUUAAUUUUAUAAAAUUUUGCACAUGUAAAUAUUUUUAGUUUGUUAUUUUUCUUUUUGUUUUGGAACUUAUCAUAUUUUUCAAAUAUGGAUUGUAAUGCUUGGUACCUUUAUUUGUAUAUGUGGAUAUAACAAAUAUUCUUUUGUAUUGGUGGCAAUAUCAUCAAUUAUGUAUUUGACCUAUCUUAUCACAUAAAUUAAUUAUUAAAUCAGGUGUUAUAAUUUUAUAAAACUUAAGCAAUAUAAUAUUAAUUGAAUAAGAUAUGAUUUAAUUUUAAAUUAUAUAUAUAUAUAUAUAUAUAUAUAUAUAUAUAUAUAUAUAUAUAUAUAUAUAUAUAUAUAUAUAUAUAUAUAUAUAACCUUAACCAUUGGUAACAAAAUAAGGUUUUGUAUCAAAAUCUAUUUAGUAACAAAAAUAUCAAUUUUGUUGUUUUUUUUUACCAAUUGGGGACAACUUAAUUUUCACUGAAUAUAUUUAGCAACAAAAGUUCAAAUAUUUAGCAACAAAGUUUUUCAUCAUAAAAAAUUAUUAGACACAAUUUUUUUUUUAUUUUGUCUUUGUAUAAUUUUCAAGGCAAAAUAUUUAAUUUGUUGCUAAAACUUUUCGCGACGAUGAAUUGGUGACAUCCAUGAAACGAAAGAAUUUUCAUCGCAAAAUCUAUUUGGCGACAAUAUUAUUAUCUUAUGUGACAAAAUUUAUUGUCACUAAUAAUCAAUUUUAUUGUAGUGUCGAAGUUAUUUGAAACAAAUCCAAAUGAAAUUAAAGUAUUAUGAAACUUAUCAUAUCAUUAUCUAAACGAUUGUUUCCGUCCAUACAAAGAUCUAUUUAAUUUAUAUACAUUUUUCUUUUUCAUUUAGAUUUUUAUAUCCUUCAAGUUGUCUCAUAUAUAUAUAUAUAUAUUUCUUCUUUUAAUUCACUAUGUAAUAAUACUAUUUUUACAUCUAUUUGGUAUAAUUCUAGAUCUAAGUGUGCAACUAUGGUCAUUAUAAUUCUUAUAUAAGUAAUUUAGUAAUUGGUAAAUAAGUUUCUUCAUAAUCUAUACCCUCUUUUUGGGUGGAACUUUUUGGGCCCUUGCUUUUUCUGUGCAUCAUUCCUUUAGCUUUUGUAUCUCUUUCUUUUAGCUAUUCUAGCAAAAAAAGGUGUGCCUAGAUAGUUUUCGAGCAAAAUUCUUCAGCAAUUAACUUUGUAUUUUUUAUUUUAUGUGCUAUUUUAAUUGAAAGAAAAAAGUUUACCCCUUUUACCUUAUAUGGAGGGGUUUUUUGUAACCCCUAAGACCAUUCAUGGGUUUUUAAAUGCAUAACGUUAUCCUAUUAAUUAUAACAAUUAUUAGGUAUGAAUGUUUCUGGUUGUUACACUUUCCUUACUUUAGCCUGGACAUCCUUUGUCUGCUAGGUGGCGUGUGUACUUGGAUAGACCUUACUUAAACAAUUUAGCUUGGUUUGCUAGUUCGGGACUGGCUUUCCUAAGGAAUAUUCAGCUCCUCCCAUAAUUUAUAUAAGCUUGGGAUUAUAACUCUUAGUGUCUUUUGUGGAGUCUUUAUUCCGGCACUGAAUGCAUAAUGGUGGCAUAUUAAUUCAUGCACUUGUAAUGACUAAGCGUUAUGCGAUGUUAAUGCACACUUUACUUAAACAAACAUUUGAUGAUGAUCAACUCAUAGUUUGCUCGAACUCAAUUUGUCUAGAUAUAGUUUGUGUGGGCACAUUUUGUCUAGACAUAGUUUGUCUGAGCACAUUUUAUUCGAACAUGGUAUGUUCAGACAUGGUCUGUUUGACCAUUGUCAAUCCAAACUUAUCUUGGAUAGUUUUAUACGUUUUCUUGGCUAAACAUAGUUUGACCAAACAAUCCAUGCCUGGAAAUGCUCUGAUCCCCCACAAUUGGCCCCAUUUUCUUGGUCGAGCUUGAUGAAGCGAAGAGAGUUAGGUAGGAGAAGAAAUAUCUUGUGUGGUUUCAUUGUAUCUAUGCUUAAAAAUGCUCCAUUCCUCCACAAUUGCCCAUUUUCUUGGUUGGGCUUGAUGGAGCUAAGAGAGUCACGCAAGAAAAGAAAUAUUGUGUCAUUAAUUUGAGUGAGCUCUAUGGCUUUAGGUGAGUUCAAUGGCCUUAAGUGGGCUUUAUGGCAUUUUGUUUGGAUGCUUUAUGUUUGGGUGAAGUAUGUCUGUCUAGACUAGCUCUUUUCACCCUUGAGUGGGCUCCAUGGCCUUAAGUGGGCUCUAUGGCCUUCAAUGGGGUCUAUGGCCUAGUGUAGGCAAUGUGGCCUUAAGAGGGCAUUGUGGCCUUAUGUUAAGAGGGCACUGUGGCCUUAUGUGGGCACUUUAGCCUUAAGUGGGCAUUUAGCUUUAAGUGAGCGUUUAGCCUUGUUGAGCAUUUCACCUUGAUGUAUAUGCAUGACAAUUUGAGUCACCACUAAUUUAAAGUCAUUGGAUAGAGUUGUAUAUUACAUAUGAUAUAACUAUCGAUGAAAGUUGCUUUGUUAUACAUUCUGGUUGUAUAAUGGAUGAUAAUGUCAAAUAUGUAGUUGACAACUUGCAUUACUAAAAUAAAUAUAAUAAUUAAAUCACACUACUAAGUUACUAUUUCUAUAUGUGAAUUGCGUAAUCAUAGCGUAUAACUAUAAAAGCUAUGAUUAAUCACACUUCAAACAGUACACUAGUUUUGAUAAUUAAUAUGGUUACAGCAGGGAUCAUGUGAAGAUAUACAACCGACUACAAAUAAUUGAGGGAAGGUUCGAAGAUCAUCCUCUUCACUUCAUGUUCAUAUAACUAUUUUCAUAACUAAGACUUAAUGAUGGAAUGUGACAUAUCAUUCAUAGAUUCAAAUCGUACAAUGCCUAAAUAUGCUUUUAGUUAGGUGGAAUUAAACUCCACUAACUUGAAUAUAAAGCUGAGCUUGACCUCUUAUGGGUUAAAGAAAAGAGGAGGUCAAGUCAAUUAGGAAAAGAAAAUAUUAAUAAAUCAAAAGUCUAAUGGACCGUAACAUAAAUAUGCAACCACAUAUAAUUCAACCAACUUACUAGACUUGACAAGAUAUUAAGCAACAAAAUAUAAUUGCUAUCAAUGAUAGGAUGGUCUUAGAAAUUUUAAUGUGUUUUUUUUUUUUUUUUUUUUUUUUGUGAUAUAUAUAUAUAUAUAUAUUUUUAAUGAUAAAAAAAGAAUGAAAUAUGUAGUCAUGCAUAUUCUCAACUAUUUCAAUUAUCACUCUUUUCUUGUAAAGAAUGAAAAAUUAUUGUGGCACAAGAGACAUAUAGUUGACCUUUGUAAAGUAAAAAUCAAUUAUCACUCUCCUACAAGAAGAUAUAACUUCUCUAUUAGUCUCCUACAUGCCCAAUUUUACCACACAACUAGCAUUGUGGCUUCUAAUGUUGCCUACCACUUCUUCCAUUUCCUUGAUUUUAUCUGCUUGAAUUAGGAUUGAAAUUUUGAGAUCUGUAAUUUCCUUGUCCAGUAAAAGUGCGUUGAAAACCACCUUGUCCUCCAUUAAACCUUUUAUGGGACUGUUGAUUAUUAGAAAUCUUUGCCAUAUUUACUUGAUUUGUAGAAUCAAGCUCCUUAGAAUGUUUUUCAAUCCUGCUUUCUUAUGCUAGCAACAAUGAUUCAGUCUCUACGACUAUAUACAAAUCAUUUGUUGAAUUCAUUGAAACAACAAAUGUAUCGUCCUCAGAAGACAAUCCAUUAAAGAUUGCAUCUAUAUGAUCUUUGGUUGCAAUAACAUGUCCAACAAAAGCUAGCUGAUCGAUUAGGGAUUUAAUCUUUAACAAAUAAUCAUUUACCAAUAGAUCACCCUUCUCUGUAUUCUGGAGCCUAGUCUUGAACUGAGAUAUCUUAGCUUUGGUUUGUGAGGCAAAGAACACCUCAAGAGUUUUCCAGAUCUGGCGUGAAGUUUCACAUCCAACCAUUUGUGUGAGCAUCACUUCUAUCAUUGAAGAGAGUAGCCAUGAAAAGAGCAACUGAUCUUGUUGUUCCUAAUCAAGAUACUUUGGAUUGAUCUUCCUUUAAACAUGAUCUCCAGCCGUAAGGAACCCUUUUGGUGGAUCUUCAUUUUCUAGAAUAGAUUUUUGUAGUUUGCGACCUCGUAUUACAAUUUCAACUUGCUAUUUCUAGAGAAGAAAAUUGCUAUCAUUUAAUUUGAUUGACAAAUACAACUAGAAUAAAUUUUGCCAUGGAAGGAGAGCUCUAUAACGAAGAAGAAAAUGAAUUCUCUCUAGCCAUUUAGAAUAACUUUGAUACCAUAUCAGAAUUGAUAAAAAUGUGUAUUUCUUGCUAAUGAGAAAAUAGAGUUCACAACUUAAGUAACCCUCUCUGUAUCUAACUACUUCUAACAAUGUGUAACUAACAGGUAACAACUAACAAUAACUUGUUAUCUGUUCACAACCUAGCUAUUAUCUCUUCACAUAUAUAAAUGAAGGAAUGAAUGAAUGCAUAAACAAAGACAAGCUAAAAUUAGUUUCACCUAAAAAUGUUUUAUAAAAAAUGGAGAAAGAAUUUGAAUAAAAGAUAAUUUAUUGAAAGUAGUUAUAAUGAUUUAUGUAUUCAACCAUAGAUGAAGUAAUGUAUAUGACGGGAUUUGCUAAAAGUAAAACAAUGGUUACAACCAAUACAUUAAAUUUAGAAGGACAAUGAAACAUUAUGAUAUAUUUUACCAUCCAACUCUUCCAUUCAUUUGUCCUUUUUGCAAACCUUUCAACCUCUUUAUUCAAAAGGGUUUAAAGAAUGGUUCAAAUGAAAUAAAAUUGUGAUUCCUUCUUUCUUUUGUACAUUUACUUUCUUCCAAACUAAAAAUUCAUUCAUCUUAUUUCCUUCUUAAUUUUUCAUUAUUUAUAAUUUAAUUAUGACAUCCUUCAAAAAUUCCAUGAUACAUUAUACUAUUACCAAUGUCAUUAAUUUUAUUAUUUACUAUUCAUUUUUUUAUAACACAAAACAAGUUUACUUUGUUCAUUGUUAAUUGCUUUUCACUUAUAGUUCUUAUCAAAAUGUUUAUUUUUUUGGCUAAAUUUUCAUGACUUUGCGUUUUUCUUUUUUUCAAUUUUUAUGGACCAUGGAAAUCCAAAUUCUCAUCCUUGGACAACUUUGGCCCUCUUGGCGUCUUAUUUAAGGUCGUCUAGUGAUAAGGUUCUCUUCCCUCUUCCUCUGCCUCGACUUCUAGUUGUGAGCAUUAAUGGCCACACAACCCAACCCUCCGGAGGAUGCCUCCCACGACUUCUAUGCUUACUACAGGUUUGAUCCCAGUAGAGACACGCCCGACAGCGCUAGAAACACCUUGCUAGUAGUAGGCGCCUUGAUUGCCGCCGCGACCUUCCAAGCAGGAAUCAAUCCUCCAGGCGGAGUUUGGCAAGACAAAAAAACUGUGGAUGGAGUCACUACACAUCCAGGGAAGGCCAUCUUGGGUUCCGAGAAGGCUGCGUUCACAGUCUUUCUUUUCUUAAACACCUUAGCGUUUUCUUCUUCNNNNNNNNNNNNNNNNNNNNNNNNNNNNNNNNNNNNNNNNNNNNNNNNNNNNNNNNNNNNNNNNNNNNNNNNNNNNNNNNNNNNNNNNNNNNNNNNNNNNUCCAUGUCCUUCACCUACGGCUUCUCAAUUGCUGCUGUGGAGCCUCCUGGAGCAGUCAAGUCUGGGUACAUCGCGAUUGCGUUUAUCUUGCCAUAUGCCGUAAGAUUGUCACACCAAAUGUUCAAGAAGUACAAGAAGAGAGGUUAAUUGUAGUUCAUCUAAAAAGGUAUUUGUGUAUUUGCUUGUAAGUCAAGCUUCUGUUUUAGUAGUUUAUUUUGCCCUAUGUUUACCAUCAAAGUUAAAUUAAGCUUAUGCUUAAGUUGUUUUUAUUCAAAGGGCUUUCCCUACAAGAAUUUUUGAGAAGUACUUAUCAAGUAAUUCUAUCAAAACCACUAUAAAUAAAUUUUUAACUUUUAAACAAAUAUUUUCUAGAUUUCAUCAAAUGUCAAAAUUUUCUUUAAAAGCUAACUUUUUUAGAAGUACUUUUUAAUUAUAUCAAAUGUCUAAUUUUUUUAAUCCAAGAAAUAUUUUUAAUCCAAUUGUGAAAUAGACUUUUCUAAUCCAAUCAUGAGUCCACAAGCUAUUACAAGCAAAAGAAUCAAAGCAUCUAGUGGGCUUUGUGAGUGUUUAGCUAGGUUGGCAAUUUUGGACAAAAUUCUUAAGUGCCCCUUAACUCAGUUUACCAAUCCCUCUUUGAACUACUUGACUUUGAAGACCAAGACUUUGCUAAGAGGCCGAGGUAUUUAGCCAAGUGUGUGGUGAUUGAAUGUGAAAGACUU
rnacentral:lncRNA from 1 species